GUGACAAUCUGCGGCCCUGUCAUGAAAUAUUUCCACGAGCACUUUCACAAGAAGGACAAGAAGCCUGAGCCGUCAAAGCCCGAACCAGAGCCAGAGCCCAAGCCACAGCCAGAACACCAGCCUCCUACACCGACGUACGGUUCAGCAACGCCUCCAAUCUACCAUCCUCCUGCAAUGAACAUGCACUUGACCGAUCACUUCCACAAAGACCACGAGCUCGAGCACUUCUUCGACCACUUCCACAAGAAGCCUGUUGUACCGCCGAAGCCUGAGCCACAGCCGAAACCACAGCCAGAGAGCCAGCCUCCAACACCGACGUACGGGUCAGCAACGCCCACAAACGGGUCCCCAACUCCUGUGAGCAACCAUGCUCCGCACAUGUUCCAUCACUUCUACAAGGGUCACCAUGACCACCACUUCUUCGACUACUUCCACAAGAAGCCUGUGCCACCAGAGCCUAAGCCAGAGCCCAAGCCGCAGCCAGAUAACCACCCUCCCGUGCCAACGUUUGGCUCGCCUCCUCCACUCUACCACGCUCCGGCCAAACAUUGAGUCCGUUUUGUUGCCUUGAAAUGAUGGGUACCUGAUAAUCUUGCAUGAUAUUGCACUACUAUGUAUUGGUAUCUGAAGAAUAAUGGUUGUGAUACAAGUGUGAGCGAGAGACUCUUUUUAUUUUUCCCAAGACACAAGUGUGGACUACCUAGAGUCAUGGACUCAUGGUUAUCCAUCUUUCAGCUGCAAAUGAGUGUUUAAAUUUAUUGUAAUAUUAUCUGAAUGAGUGUAUGUUGUGACAAGAUGUGUGCUUUAUCGUUGGUUUAACUUUUCACGUACGUCUUGUUAGGACUGAUCUCUGCUUUCUCAACAAUUGACUGGGUCUAAGGAUCCUAACAACACAAGUAACAGAAAGAAUCUGUCUAUUGCAAACUUGAGUGUUUCAAAGCCUCCUGUCACCCAGGUGACUGAAGCCUUUAAAACACCCAAAUCCCACAUCAAGUAAAAAACAGGUGACAAAAGACAAUGAAAUACCCGAAAUUUAAUAUUACAAUAUUUAUAUGAAAGGGACCAGAUAAAAAAGAAAGGAACCAGGAAAAUAACUUAAUAAAAAUUGAAAAAAGCAAAAUUAAUUCUAUCAAAAACAAAUGGAAAGAAAGACAAAUAAACAAAUCAAAUAAAAGGUGGCAAAUUUUUCUAUUAAAGGCAAAUAGGAAGAAUUUCAAAUUGAAAAACAAAGAAAACAUACAAAUUCCAGAAUGUAGAAAAAUAAAAAUGAACAAAUGACAGAUUAAUUUUAUGGGCAAAUUCAAAUAAAUUCAAAUUGAAAACAUAUAAUACAAACAAAUUACAUAAAGGAGAUAAAGAAACCAUAUUUACACUAGUAAUACAAAGCCAGUAUUUGGCUCAACUUGUGGAGAUUGCUGAUGAGCCUGCGUUUAAAGUGAGGUUCUUUCCUCUUUCUUUGUCUAGGCCAGCAUUUUCGUGGUUGAAGUAUGGGAAGAUCUGAAAACCAAAUUUCAUCAUUACUUUGAUUAAAGAGUUAUGGAAAAAGACAUUACAGAUUUAGUCGAUGUGAGGCAAAGGAACAAUGAGUCUGCACUUUCAUUAUCCGUAGAGAUUUAAAAAGGUCAAGAAUCAAUGCUAUACCUAGACACCUUCAGAAGCUGAGUUGGUUAGCAUUAUAAUUCGAGGGCUAAUGUCAACUAUUAAAGAGAAAAUUGGACUUGAUUGUCCCAAUUUAGCAGCUUUGGCCAGAAAAAUGUCUAAUAUGGAGACAGUUCAGAUAUGCACACUUUAACAAGCCUCUGAAGAAAAGCAAUGUCGGCUAUGAGUCUGAUCUAGAGAUGGUUGAUGACACUAAUGAAGAAGUUCAAAGUGAUGAAGUAGCUGUUGUAGGUUGGGUUUGGAAAUAUUCUGAGUAUAUCCCAUGGGCCAAAAACAAAUCUACCGAAGAGGAAAGAAAGAAAUUCAACAUUGAUAUCACUAAAGCUGACAAAAUAUUUUACUAUUUGUUGGAGAAGGGGCAGAUCUCGCUGAUCGGAAAUCAUAGGAUACCUUCGGCUGAAGAACUUAAAAAGAAAAGCCAUUGCAAGUACCGUAAUUCUAAUACUCAUAAUACUAAUGAUUGCAAAGUCUUCAGGGAUAUUGUCCAGCAAGCUAUUAACAAAAGAAGAAUUAGGCUAGAGAAGACUAAAGGUGGUAUGGGUAUAGAAGGUCAUCCUUUCCCAACAAAUAUGGCAGCUUCCUCUUUUCCAACAGGAGGCUAUUGUAAGAUAAUUUUUAGACUUUGAUCUUGUAAUGAUUAUUAUUUUUAGUUCAUAACCAUGUUUCCUACUUGCUUGCUAGACUCAUGGAAAAUAUGCUAUCUACAUCAACAGAAUGGUGAAGAACCUAAGUCUACGUCUCAAGUUGUUGCUGAUGUGCUUGUUGUGAACACCAAGAAGAGUCGGUUCUUGCAGAAUCUGGGGUUCCAGAAUGUUCGACCUAGAUCUAGUGAGCAAAGUAAUGAGAUAGAACUAGAAGCGGACAACGCUAAGCUUCGUACGCAGGUGGCUGAUUUGUUAAAUAAAGUGGAAGAAUAUGAGCAGGCAAGGAUUAUUGAUCGAGAGGAGAUAAAGAGAAGUCAAUCUGAGAUGGAAGCAAAACAUAACCUUUUGCUUAGUCAGAUUGAACGAAGUUAAGUCAGGCAUGGUGCAUAUUUUUUGCCAUUAACUUCAUGCAUUUUGCUGCUGCUAACUUGUGUCAAGCUAAUUUCGAUCAAGUUAAGUCAUGCAUGCUGGUAUAUAUUUUGUUGCUGCUGCUUGCAUUUUGCACCUGUUGUAUGCAUCGAGCUACUAGACUUGUAAGAAUUUCUAUGUGUUGUUGGCUUGUGCCAUAUUGAAUUGUAAGGUUGUGUGCGCUUUUGUGCGAUAACUAUUGUUGGAUGAAGACACGUAAUUUGAUAUUGGAUCAAAAUUUAUGUGAUCUAUUGUCGGAUGGAAAGUUAAAACUUUUUAUUUAAUGUGCUGCUAUAAUAAUUACUUGUUGGCUGUGUAUGUGGGCUGAAUGUUUGAAAAUGGGCUGUGUAUAUAUGAGCUAUAUGUGCUGUAGUAGUGGGCUGAAAAGUAGGCUAUAAAUGAUGAUGAACUUGGGCUAUAGUAUGCUGAAAUGGGCCUGCGAAAAUGGCAAAAAAAAUUGCAUUAAAAAAGGAUGAAAUUGAGCCAAAAUUGGCCCAUCUUUGAUUCUGGCCUGUUAACAUAUGGGCUGAGGUAGUGUCCAUGUCAUCAUCCAUGUAAGCAACCACGUAAGCAUCUAUAGUGACAUGACAAUUCAUCUGCGACGGUUAUUUUUCGUCACUGGAAAUGGGCCUGGGCUGGACUAAGUAGGCCUCGGGAUCCAUCGUGACGGAAUAAAACCGUCGCUGAUUCUGUUAAUCCAUGAUGAUUUACGACAAACCGUCGCGCAAGUCAAUCCUUGACGCUCAAUCCGCGAUGGUUUCUAAAACCAUCACAAAUCCUAUUUGCUAACGGAUUUUUAGUGAUCCAUGUCAGAAGUUUUCCAUCACUGAUUAGCAGAAUUCUUGUAGUGUACUCACUUCUGAUAGAGCUAAGGAAGCCAAAGCAGUGGAUUCUACAAAGCAAAUAUUAGCUGCUGAAUAUCAAGAGAUGAAGAAGAAGCAAGAUCGGAAAAAUAGCCCAUUUGACCAUCUCGAGACUUCCAAAGAUAGUGAAGCACGCAGUCGUCCUAUUGUUAGGAUUCUAUUGAAUAAAUGGUAGAGGCGGAAAGAAAAGGAACAAAUGCGUCAGAAAAGAGAUUAUUUGAAAUACCAAGAGAUGCAUAAAAAGGGAGGAUUCAAGAAGAAAAUGAAUAUCAUUGGAAUUGUCCUUUCUUUCAACAUUGCUGGAAUGAAGGCUUAAAUUUGUGGACUCUCAAUAAUUGUCCUGAGUGCAGUGAUCAGUAUGUGGAAUAAUGUCAGGCAAGAGUCAACCACCGACCUGUGCAUGAGCGACUAAAUUUUGAAGUAACAAGUCGGCGUAUAAAAAUAGAAACUGUUCGUGAUUGGUUGGAAAGGGAAAUAGCUGAUGAGGAAGUAGAAGACAAAGAAUAUGUUUGGCAGAAAAAUCAAUGGUGCUCAAGUGGACUUACCAGAAGUCAGAAGAGAAGGGUUCAACGUCUAAGGAAUGAUGAAUUCAAUCAAAAGAGGCAUAAAGUUUGGCAAAUCAAACAGACAGUUGACAAGGGCAAAGGUAAGGCACUAGUUGAAGUUUCUACUAUCUUUAUAUUAUUUGCUGAGUUCAGAGCCAGUGACAAUGAAGAAGAAUCAGAUGAGGAAGUGGUUAUGGCUCAAUGGGUUUGCCAAGCAGAUAAUGCAACCAUUGAGGAGUCUGAAAAGCAUUUGCAUCUAAAAACAUUAUAUCUUAAAGGGUUCAUGGAUGGAAAGCCAUUGACUAAGAUGCUAGUUGAUGGGGCAGCAGCUGUCAAUCCAAUGCCUUACUCUACAUUCAGAAAACUUGAUAAAAAAGGCAGAAGAUUUAUGUCCAACUGAUAUGAGAUUGAUAGAUUUCAGUGGAAAUAUUUCAGUAACCAAAGGUGAUGUAUGUGUUGAAUUGACAAUUCAUAGUAAGAGAUUGCCUACUAUUUUCUUUGUUGUUGAUGCUAAAGGCGAAUAUGGUUUACUUCUGGGAAGAGAUUGGAUCCAUGCCAACUUCUGUAUUCCAUCCACUAUGCAUCAAAGUUUGAUUUAAUGGAUUGGAGAUCAUGUGGAAGUUGUCCCAGCUGAUUCUUCUGUUAGUAUUUCUUAUGCUGAGGCAGAUGAAUGGAAUGUUGAAGGUGUGGAAUGUUUCUCUAGCAAGGUAUAUGAAAGAGACGUCAUCAUUGUAUUUGAAGAUGGUCAACAGCCGAUACAAGCAGUCGGCUCUUAGAGUUUUAAUUAAUGGAUUCUUUAGUCGAUGAAGAUAAAGGUAAGAUGGGCAAAGGGUUAUGUCUCCCUAUGAGUUAGAGGCAGUAGAUAUAAGUGAUGGUGAUAAGCCUAGGACGACAUAUGUAAGUGCUAAGUUAGAUCCUGAGUAUAAGCAAGAAUUGAUAGCCUUCUUAAAGGAAUAUAUAGAUUGUUUUGUUUGGUAGUAUUAUGAAAUGCCUGGUCUUGAUAGAAAAUUAGUUGAGCCGAAGUUUAGUGCACGAACAGUACAAACAUAAUAAUAUGAAGAAUGUCGAAGUUUAGUGCACGAACAGUACAAACAUAAACAUAGCUUUUCAAUGGGAGAAUAUCUAGUCUCUGAUCCAGUAAUCUUCUACUUAAAUAGAAAAUUACUCUUUCUUAAUAUGUAAGUGAUUUAUGCUUUGACAUAAUAAUAUGAAGAAAUCACUUACAUGAUAUACUAAGAAAUAUUAUGAAGAAUGUCGAGAACUUUUUAAUUCUUUUUCUUUCAUUAUUAUGAAGCAUAUUCCUAGAAAUCAGAAUCAAGAGGCUAAUCGGCUAGCUCAAAGUGCUUCUGGGUAUUGGCAAAUUGUUGAAGUUUUAGCUGACGAAGUUGUUGAUGAAGGAGAUUGGAGGAAAAGUAUUAUUGAAUAUUUGAAGAAUCCAUCACAACACGUAUCUUGGAAAGUGAGGUACAAAUCUCAUAAAUUUGUUCUUCUUGAUGAUCACCUAUAUCGUAGGACGAUUGAUGGUGUACUCCUUAAGUGUCUUAACCAAGAAGAAACUAAGGUUUUAAUGUGAGAGAUUCAGAGGGAGUUUGUGGUGCCCAUCAAUCUACUCAUAAGAUGAAGUGGAUGAUUAGAAGAGCGGGUUAUUUUUGGCCGACUAUGUUGGAAAAUUGUUUCAAAUAUUACAAAGGUUGUCAAGAAUGUCAAAGGUUUGAGAAUAUUCAAAAGUCUCUAGCAUCGGCUAUGAAUCCUAUUGUGAAACUAUGGCCAUUUAGAGGUUGGGGAAUAGAUCUGAAUGGCCAGAUAUUUCCAUCAUCAAGUAAGGGGCAUAAAUUUGUAUUGGUGGCUACAGAUUAUUUUACCAAAUGGGUGGAAGCUAUUCCUUUGAAGGAGGCCUCAUCAACUAAUGUGAUUGAGUUUAUCCGAGGACAUAUGAUUUACCGAUUUGGGGUUCGUCAGUCCAUUACAACUGAUCAAAGGAAGAUUUUUGCAUCCAAGGAAUUUGAAGACUUUGCUGCCAAUAUAGGUUUUAAGUUGAUUAAUUCUUCUCCUUAUUAUGCCCAAGCCACGAGCAAUCCACUAGAGUAGCCAAUUGCGAUCUCCCAUGGGGAAGGCUCAAGAACCCCUCAAGAAUAUCCAAGGAAGUUGCAUUCGAUACUUAGUGAAACUCUUUGGUCUUAUAGAUUGGCUUAUCAUAGAUUGACUAAGUGUUCACCUUAUGAUUUAGUAUAUGGAAAUGAAGCUAUGUUGCCAUGGGAGAUUAGUUUAGGGUCUCAAAGGAUAUCACAGCAUGACAAGUUGAUAGCCGAUGAUUAUAAAAAUAUUAUGUUGGAUAAUUUAGAUGAUUUGAAUUUUCAUCGGCUAAAAGCUUUGGAGAAUAUCAGGGCUAAUAAGAUCAGAAUUGCCAAAUUUUAUAAUCAGAAGGUAUGAGAAAGAAAGUUCAGUGAAGGUGAACUGGGUUGGAAGGUGAUUUUGCCGAUUGAGUCUAAAGAUACCAGAUUUGGUAAAUGGUACCUAAUUGGCAAGGACCAUAUCGGAUUACUAGAGUUGCUCCUGGCAAUGCUUAUUUCUAUAAAACUUUGGAAGGAGUGGAGUAUUCUUGAGCUAUUAAUGGAAAAUAUUUUAAGAAAUAUUACCCUAGCAUCUAGGUUGAUUUACUUUAGUUGAUCAAGUCAGUUAAAGGGUGAAUAGCCAAUACGACAAGUUUCGCCUUUAGCAUAAAAAUCCAGAGUACUAAGUGAUUGGAGAUAGCCGAUACAAUAAAUAUAGCCUUCAGCGCAAAAAUUUAAGGAUUUUGGCAGUAAAAAGUUGAUGCAAUGAAUAUCAUCUUCAAUGUGAGAUUUGGAACUAUAAUUUCAUAGUGGAUACAAUAAAUAUCGCCUUUAGAGCAAAAAUCAAGAACACAGAGAAGUUUUGUUGAUUCAGAGGUAUACUAAAUUGCCUCGAUGGGCAAUGUCACAAAAAUAAUGAGACAGUGGAUCAGCAAAACAAAAUAAGAUAAAACUGCCUCAAGUGCGGUGUUCUUGAUUCAUUGGAGAAGUUUUUACAUCAACUAAAAAUAAAAAACCUAAACUAAUCGUCGUCGUCGAAGACAGGAGCAGUGAUGUCUUAGGGCAAUGAGAACUGCACCACGGCAUCGCCAUAAGGGGGCAAACUCCUCCAUCAGCUCCUCGAAGCCUUCGUCGUUGCUCUCUGCGACGAAGUCCAGAGUCACGGACUUCGAGAGCUGAGCCUCGUGGUGGACCUGGGCUGCUGCAAAGUGUUCGCUGCCCCUAAGCAAACGCCGUGGAGGAUGGCCUCCCGAACAUGGUUGGGGACAUCCUCGAGGAGCUCCACCUGGGUAUCCCCAUGCACAUUCACCAUCUCGGUGACCGCGUUGAUGGUGGGGGUGACGGUGUUGAACUGCUCCUAGAGCCCUGUGAUCGACAAAAGAAACCUUUCAGCAAAAAUAGUUGAUCGACUAAAGGAAAAUGUAGGGGAAGAUGAACUUACUGACAACCAUAGAGUCUGACUUUGCUAAUUAUUCCUUGGUUCAGGCUAAGGAUCCCUCGGUGUUUUCUAACACUGCCUCCAGAGCGUUGAGCUGCUCCUAGAGGUCGUGAGACCUCUUGCACUCCUCGGAGUAGAGGUCCUAGGCUAGUCUGUGACGCCUGAGAAAGCCCCACGCGUCUUCGUUGCCGAAGACGACAUUGUCGUAAGGGGGCAUCUUCAUGGCUAACUGACUACGACCCUGCUUAGCUUGCCUCGGCUGCCUGGUUCACAGUAGCCUCCUCAAAGGCCACUGCCACCGGUGGCAGAGUGGAUGCUGAAGCUUCAUGGACAGGAUGACUAGGGAAUGCCCCAGGAUCCACUCAGGGGGCAUAGUUGUUCAGAACAUAAGAUGAAAUGAAGACUAGAUUGACUAAGUUACAUGUUCAAGCGCCUGCGCUGCAUGCAGUUCACCUCUUUAGAAGAAAAGGUGAUGUUGGACACUUGCCUUUGUUGUCCGCCAUUGGGGAAGAGUUAGGGCUUUUGAGAGAAAGGCAAAAGACUUAGAGAUUGAAAGGAGGAAGAUGUGAAUCUGAUGGCUGUGUGCUCUUACCCUCAGUGCUUCGGUAUUAUUUAUAAUGGGGUAAGUGGAAGGCAAAGCAGUGAAUAGUUAAUUCUUGGAGGGAGUCGAUCAGCUAUCUUAAUGACGGUUCCUCUAAUUCAGGAUGAGUGGAUCAGUUAAAGGAUAGCUGAUCGACUUAAUUAUGGCUGUGAAAAGCUUAAAUGGUGGAUCGGCUAGCCUUGCCGAUGGAAGUUUUGACUUAUCCAGAUUCAGUUGAUAUUGAUGAUAAGUUUUCGACAGGACUAUAUGUUUACUAGUCAAAUUUAAACAAAUAGAGAUUAAGUCUGAGAAAUUACAAAGUAUGAAGUAAAUAUAGUGAAUGUUUGGGGUUAAGCAGACUUAAUGGAAUUCAGAGCGGAAAGCCUAAUGCUAUCUACUUCGGCUAUUUGUUGCUGAUCUUCUACGGCUAAUCUAGGAAUCUUGGCUUUUUUCACAUGCUUGAUCUUGUCUAAUUUGGUCUUCAGGCUUGCCAUAUUUUUCUUUAGAUUAGCUAAAGAUGCAGAGGUCUUGGAUAAAGCUUCUUCCUUCUGUUUGAUUGUGUCAUCGACAAUUUUGAGUCUGGCUAAUAGGAGUGUUCUUUCUUCAAUAAGAGUAGCUAGAUCUUUAUUGAUCUUAGUAGGAGAUUCUUUAGAAGAUCGACUGCCUUCUUGACUGAUAAGAUUUCUUGGAUGCGCUGACUUUCAGCAGCAAUUGAAUUCUUCUGGACUUCUCGAGCUGCUAAUCUAGAUUGAGCACUGAAGAAUUUGGGGCCAUUGCCCUCCAAGAAUGAAGCCAGCUGAAUCAUUUAUUUUAAGGAAGAGGGAAGAUCAUCCUUAAUUUGAUUGAAGAUCUUCGUGACAGAUCCUGCAUUUUGAAUUAAGAUUGAAAUGUCUAGCUCUAGAUGGGUAAUCAACCUUUGCAGUUGAGCUUUGAUGUAAUCAGGUAUCAUUGGAGGUGUCUUCUGAGAUCAAGAUUGUUUAUUCAUCAAGGUAUUCAUCCAAGGAAAAUGGCAAAAAGGGUGAAGAAACUUGAUCCUGCAUGGGGAUAAUAGAACUAGAAUUCAUCAGAAGUUAUCACCAAAUAAGAAUAAGUGUUUUGAUAUACCUGCUCUACUGAAACCAUGUCGAGACUAGGAGUAGCCGAUGAAGUUACUUCAAGGAGUUGAAGAUCUGAGUUUAUAAAGAUAAGUUAGUAUGAACAAAAAUAUUUAUCUUAUCGGCUAUUAUUUGAUAUUACCUAAAGAAGCUUCUAGGAUGAUACCUAGGUUGGGAUUGACAUCCUCAUCACUACUGGAAAAGAACAAAUCUGCUUGAGGAUCAGGAAGUUUAGGUCCCUUUUCAACAAUAGGUUUUUGAGCAACAUCCUGAGAAAGAUCAAGGAUUAGCUGAUGCAUAGAUAUAAUAUAUAAUUGUAAGUUGGCAGAAGGGUUACCUCAGUGGCUGCAUCAGCUAAAGAUUUAAGUUGCUUGGAAGAAGUGACUUUGACUUUCUUUGAAGCUGUGUUUUGAGAAACAAGCGAUUGUUUUCUCUUAAGUUUAGGAAUCGGGUGAUCCUGAAGAAGAUCUGAUGCUGGCUUCUUCAUAUAGGCUCUCAGGGAGGGUGCAUCCUAGCCUAGUCUUGGGUCAGGACACCAUAAGCCAUAGUUCACCAAUGGAGGAGUUGGGCCAACAAGAUCCUAUAGGAAAUUAAAAUGCAUAUGUAUGAGUGUAUCAUGAAGUAUGGAAUAAUAAGAAUACAAUAUGAGAAAUCAUACCUCAUGUGCAGCUUGGAAAUCUAGAUCUAAGAAGGAACAAUAAACAAACACUACUUCACUGAAAAUGUGCUGACUCCACUCUUGCCACUAGUGAUCAAAAGCUAUGGAAGUAAAACGGAUACAUUCCCAUCCACUGAUAGCUUCUGGCAAUAGAGAUUGUUCAAUGUGAAGGAUUUCGUUGUACUCUACGCUAGUGGUGAGGGUUUCCCUCAGCUUCACUUUAUCAGCAAAGAAUAAAGUUGGGGGCAACUAGCCAAAGCCCAUCUGCCUAGCUACUAUUGAAGGGUAGAAGAACUCAUAAGAAGUUGGAGGUUUCUCCCUAUCGUGUCUGAUUUCAACUGGUAGCAGACUUGGCCUUACCAAAUGGCCUAGAAUUUUGAAUUCCUCAGGAUCACUUUAGACAGUUUGAAUUUUGAAAGAUUCUAGAAGUUUAAACUCUAGAGUAUUUGGGUAUUCCAACCACUCUAAAGUGGCCUCCGGGGAAUUUCUAUAGAAGAGAUUGAAGAAAUCGAUAAUCGAUCUAUUGAUAGUAAUUGCCGAUGUUGCCUCACCAAAAGACAUGCAUCAGUGAAAUUUUUAAUUUCUUUGAAGUUGUUCUUCAUGCUCUUCUAAAUAUUCUAAAGAAGGGAAGGAUAGGUUGAUCAGAUCCGAGACCACUAGCUUGUGCAGAUGUAAAUUGAGCCAUACUACAACAACCACCAAGGGCCCGUAAAUGUUGGGACAAUCUCAUCUUUCAUCAGAUGCUGAGAGACUCUGUUCAGUAGGCUAUAUAGAGCUCCAAGGAGAAUUUUUCUGAGUGUAAUUUUAUAGUUGCCUGAUAUUUUUUCUGCUAGGGUAAGAUAAUUAAAUGUUGGAGAACAGGUCUGUCCACAAAAGACAUAUCUAUCCAACCACAUGUUUAAGAAAGUUGUGUGCUCUCUAUCCGACACAGUCCUAUUAUCGGCCUUCUAAAUGUUGAUGUAUUGGGACUAACCCCCAGUUCUUACACUUUCUAGCUUGUAAGAAUACUUUAUCAGCAAACUAAAGGGGUUGAUUUGUCCUGCAAUGUUGAGACCUGUGUGUAACACUCCUAGUGUUAGCUUGCAUGUUAACCAUGAGCAUUGCAUCAACAUAAGCAUUAUCAUUCUCAUUCAUAAGCAUCCAUCAUGAUCACAUGUCACCUUAUGUAUAUCUUGUUUGAUUGAAUUGCUUGUAUGGCUUGUUAUGAGUGAUUAUAAUGGGUGACCAAUGCAUGUGAAUGUACAAUCUCUUCCAAAAUACUUCAAUCAUGUUUAGAAUAAAUUUUUGAACAAAGUUCAUGUUGGAAGUUUUGGCCAAAAAUGCCCCAAAGUCAUGGUUAACCCUAGAUUGACCUAAUUGACCCCCUAAACCUCUUUUUAAAGAUGUUUUAUGAAACUGGUGUUAGAAACCUUGCAUGUAAAUGACAUCUAAAACAAAGUUUUAGUAAAUUUCAUAAGCUAGAAAAGUUAUGUUAAUAACUUUUUAUGACAAAGCUUGGAACACAUACAAAUUUAGCCCACAAUCCAGAAAUCAGUGCUAUUUCCACACUUAGCCGAAUUUGGCUAAGUCUGGGAUUCGGCAGAUUCGACAUAGGGUUCUUGGGAGCCUUGUGGUUUGAAAUCCAGGCUGAAUUAGACUUUGUUCUUUUAAGCAAACCUGUAGAUCUCUUGUAGCUCUAUCCAAAGGAUCAAAUUUGAGCCAAAACCAUCGAGUGAGCUGAGAGUAAAACGUUGUUGAAGAUCGCGUUUCAGUCACUGCAAUCGAGCAUUUCAGAGAACGAUUCAGUUUGGACAGAGUUCACCCGCCGCCACGUGUCUGGCCACCUGUCGGCCAUACGCCAUCGCCGGCCCCUCCUGUUAGCUCCCACAGCGUCCACAAGUUGCCACGCACCGAGUGGACGCCUCAGACGCGACCUCCACUCGCUCAGAGCGCUCCAUUUCGCUCUGCCAUCGCCUCAGCGAGCUCCACCGCGCUUCGGCGAUCUCUCCCGGCCGCUCCACCGUGUCUCCGACCAAGCCAGUCCACCCAGAGCUCCACCUCAAGAUCCUCUACCUCGGCGUCCACUCCUUUCCCUUAGCCGAGCACUAGUGAGGCCACAUUGCCAACUCCGUCGCGAGCUCCACCUCGCCGGAGUUCACAGAGAUCACCGGCAACAUGGCCAGACCUCUCUGGUUCACCUCUGGCCGUGAUUCUUCUUCCUAUAGUUUCGCCUUGAGUCACUCUUGCUCGUCCGCAACCUCUACCGCAUCGCCAUUGCCUAGGUUCGCCGGCGUAACGCCGCGCAGCACCACCGCUCCGCCAUUCGCGACGGCGAGCACCCUAGGGUCCAGUAGAGCGCAGGUAAAGUAGGUCAACGAGUUCGCCUUGAGGAGAGGAACGCGUAGAUGCCCUUGGAUGUGACCGAGACCUCGCCGUCGUCGAGUUUCGCCAGCGAUGAGCGUCUCCCCUAUCUUUGUGUCGAUGUCGAGCGGGUCCCGCUGACCAGUGGGUCCCCCUGUCAGCCUCUCUCUCUCACACCCCUGGUUUUCUGUUCUGCAGAUCCUGUGUUGAUUUUAUAAAAUCCAUAUCUCGAUUUUUACUAAUCCAAAGGAUGUGGUUCCAAUUUUGCUAGGUUCCUGUGGUAAUCUAGUUUUUAUUAAAAAUAUGAAACAUGCCAUGUUUUUGCAGAAAUAAAUAGAUAUGAUUUAAUCUUGACUAAGUAGGAGUAGCUGAGGUUGAUUAACAUGUCUUGUUAGCCUCUCUACCAGAGAAGAAGUAUGCACUUACUUGUUAUUCUAUGAUUCAAUUAAUUUUUGGAGUUUAUGCUCAUGUUUAUACCUUGCUAUGUGUUCCUUUGCUCAGCAUCAUGACAUAUUGCAUCCUAUGUGCAUUCCCUAUGUUUAUCACUUGUCAUGCAUACAUAGGUGCACCCAAGGGAGUGACGGUCUUGGAGUACGAGCUGCCGGAACCGGAGGAACAACAAGGGGAGCCACCUCAUGGAGCUAAGGAGGAGGACCUGCCGGAGUGUCCCGACCACCGCCCGUCCACCUAUUUUGAAGGCAAGCCCCGGAGCAUUAUAAGCCUCCCACUAUUUUUGUUAUCAUGUCCAGCCAUCAAUUGACUAUGGUUAUGUAUUGUUGCAUUCAGUGUUAGGCGUUGAUAUGACACCCUUGCUGCAUAAUUAACUACCUUGUCCACCUCCUACCUUACCUAAGUAGGUCCAGGAUCGAAAUGAUGCUUAGCCAUGCUUAACACGGUAGAAGCCGGGUGAUUUCUUGUCACCUGCGAGAGAUAGGUGGAUGCUGAUCACGGUUGGCUAUAUUUGCUAUCGUGGAAAUAACCAUGUGCUAAUAAUGAACCGGAGACCGGUCGGGAUGACGAUAGUGCAGCAACAAGGCAUGGAGGUCUUGGGUGUGAAUCUAUCCCCGUCUGUGUCGUUUAAGGACUGAAUCGCUGUAUGUCCCCGUGUCAUGUUGAACGCAUGCCUAACACUUUGUUGGUCGGAUAAGUCGUUCCGACCGCGAAGCCUACGAGUGCAACUCCAGCCGGAUACCCCGUUCUGUAUGAGUGCGCACCCUGGUUGGUAGUAAGUAUGUGCGGGGAGUCAAUGGCGUAAGUCCGAGGUGUCAGGUUAGAGUCCUGACCCUGGCAGAUUGGCGGUCAAUAGGGGUGCGGCGCUGGGCGGACCCGCGAAUUGGUCCGGAGUUGUGCUAAAGGUGAUCCGAGCUGCCGUCAUGAAGUAUGCUUGGGUGAGUGUUAGGAGUACCCCUCCAGCUAGAUAGGAAUCGAUUCGAAUCGCCGUCUCUCCCGGAUAGUGAGAACUUGACUUGGGCAGCGGCAACGUAGAACUCACUAAAUAAACUUGAUGGUUAUGAUGAGGAUGUUGAUAGCAAAGUGAUAAUCCGGAUAUGGUUAUUAUUGAAAUGCUUAAAUACUCAAGUGUGUGCUUAGAACAGGUGCUAAUCUAGUGGAUAGUUGUUAAAUAUUGAACCUGCUGCCGAAAUACUAUGAAUAUGUGACUUACAACUAAAGCUCUUUAUGCAAAAAUGUGAGUCCAACCAGUCCACAAAUAUUAGCCUUGCAUACUCCUUGGUGUCACUUUAUUUUCGGUUUAUGACGGGUAAGUCUAGCGGAGUACAUUCUCGUACUCAGGGUUUUAAUUACCCUUGUUGUAGAUGAUGUCGUUUAUCACGGCUACUGUGCUAACUGUCAUCAUCCGGCUGCGGACGAUGAAUAGAUCGUGGGCGUGGUCACCUCCUUUAUCUUUAGUAACGCUUUUGUUGGGAUUACUAUGGAACUGGCAUGUCAAUUAAACGGAGUGUGUGAUGUUUCCAAAACUACUUUGCUUCCGCUACUAAACUAGUUUGUAAUAACCUUGUGCAAACUUCGAUGUGUUGUAAAACUAUGUUCUGUGACAAAUGGAUGUAAUCUGUGAUGGCGAUGCUUGAUCAUGUACGAUCUUGGUUGUAUGUUGGUUGAAUCGAGGUCUUCUGAGAUUUUGUCGGACUACCGGGUUUAUAUGGGUUCAAGUCCAUUGGCUUGACUGCUUUGUGGUCGCUAAUUCACUUGAAUUCUUAUAAAUUGGACGGUUCUGUUACAACUGGCAUCAGAGCAAGAUUAAGAAUUUAACCAUCAUAGAUGUAUUUAAAAACAAUGAAUUUGUUUUCUCAAACUAAAUGGCAAAUUAUACUAUACAUAGGGCUGUUUUAAAAAUGUUUCAAUAACAUAUACCAUGCCAGUGGUCAUACCCUUUAUGCCCAUAUAAGGACUUCUAGGUGGCUUAAUACUACUAACAUGGGGGUUUUUCUUUUCAUCGUCCAUAUGGCAUGCAAUAAUAUGGAUGCCACUUACUUAAGUGGUAAUGAAUGAAUCAAAUGCCUCUACGCCAUGGUAACCGAUGUUUGUUUUCUUUCGUUGUCCAUACGGCGUGAAAUUGUAUGGAUGCCACUUGCUUGAGUGGUAAUGUAUGGAUCUAUACGCCUCUACGCUACGGUAAGUGUGAGCUGUGAGAGCAUGACCGUCCAACCCUUGGUCUAGGAGAGUGUUAGCUGUGGUUAAUGGAAUAUUUACAUGUUUCACACAUGUAUAUAUGAAGGUACUUAAUUGUGGGUAGUAGGUGCAGCCAUGUAUACAUGUUUGAUGUAUAUAUGGGUGUAUCCCAAAUGAGUAGGGUGCUGUGAUAUAUGUUCGGGAAUAUAUAUCAGAGUACCUAACUUGAAUGUAGAUGAUUGGAUUUUCAUUUCUGCACAUAUACUCUUGUGGGGUUGGGCUGAAAUGAAAUUUUUUGCAGGUACACUAACAACAAAACGUGUAGACCGUGUAGUUGCGUAUAAAGAGUGCACGUAUGUAUGCCACCGACUAUAUCGUUAGAACUUUAUUCUAGGAAUGGAAAGGACGUAUGGAACGUGCAUGCAUCAUGAAUCAUUCAUACAUUUCUCAUGCACUACUCAAUUCUUACAAUUCUGAAACUAUAUCUAAUUAUCUUCCCUUGUAAUUAAUCUUCCUUACUCAAGUUGUGGUCUUUCCUACAGAUGGCAGCCCCACAUGCAAGUGAGACUUUUCUAGACAUGUUUGACACUCCUACUUUGUUGUGGAGGGUGCUGAGUUCAGUGAGUUAUGAGGAUCAACCUCGGUACACUUGGACAGAGGCCGAGCAUGCAGGAUCUUUACCUUGGGAAGAUGUCCAAAUUACAGUUCCCCCUUGCCCAAACAACCCACAGUGGCUAGGGUGGGUAGUAGAGUCCGAUGGUCAAACUCCCUGGGAGGGUGCCCAAGUAGCAGCCUUAGAAGUGCUGUUGGAAAUAUGCCAAGACUAUGGGGAUGAGCUAAUCAAUGGCCCAGCUGGAUCAUUUCCUAGAGUGAGUGUGACUGACACUUUUGUGUCCCAGAUAGGGACUGAGCCUCUAGAAAUGAGAGAAACCAUGCUAGGAUAUAGCUCUAGCCCUGCCAUGAGUGCCAUGCUGGCGGUACUUAAGCUGUACUAUGUACGCCAAGACACCUACAUAGAAGCUAUGCUAGCGCUCCAGCAAGCUCAAGUUGGACAGCGCAAACUGCGCAAGCGUGUGCGCAAGCACCGCAAGGCCUUUAGCAAUGCACAAGCUGAAAUCCAAAACUAUCACACCGCUUUGCAAGCCCGCCGCAACCAAAUUGAAAAUACAGUUAGAGAGCGCAAUGAGGCACAAGCCCGCAUGAUGCAAAUGACUAGAGAGCGAGAUGAGGCUAUGCGCUUGGCUGAAAAUAGAGAAGCUACUAGAGUUAGAGCUUUGUUCCAUGCUGAGAUUAGAGAGGAAGAGCUAAUUACUAGGAUUGCUGAGCUGCAGCUAGAUGUCCAUCACCUGAAUAAUAUCAUAAAUCCUAUCCCACACGUUGUUCCCUUUAACCAUGAAGAAGCUCCUAGUGAGGAAGAUCAAGAUGAUGGCAUCAUUUCUAAUGGAGAAUCUGAGGAGGAUAUGUAGCCUAGCGAUGAUUCCCAUGUUCAUGUAUCAGUUUCCAUCUCUUUGUGUAAUGGACUUGUAAUCUGAAUUUUAGCUGAAACUCUAUGUAUUUGUCCAUAGUGCCCCUCCUGUAAAACUUAAGUUGUGGCAAUGACUCUAUGUAACCCUAUGCACUUAUUUGUGAUGCUCCAUGCUUAUGUUGAGCUUAAAUAAUCUUCUACAAUGUCGUUAACCCUUGUGAAUUGUGACCGUGAAUGGUCGCGAGAAUUACUAGUGUCGUGGAUGAAAUUCUCUUUUUGUACAUGGAUUAUUGUGCCUUGCAUUAUGUGAAUUUAUUUCAUUAAAUUCCGUAUGACAGCAAUCUAGAUUUAUGGCAAUUAUAAUUGUUAUCCUAAACAGUCACUUGGUAUGCCUUGUGCAGAUGGCUCGCAAUACUCGCUCCGGUCACAAUGAGGUGCCGCCACCACCACCUCCUCCCCCGCCUACGCCUGCUGAGCUCCUAGCAACUCUUGUGGAGGGCCAACGGAUGCUAAAUGAAGCUAUGCAGACUAUGGCACAGCAGAACCGGGGUGGUCGCCAUGUCCGCCAAGGCGGAGAAGCGAAUCAGCACAGCAACUUCAAUGAUUUCCAAGACACGAAGCCACCGGUUUUCAAGGAGGCUGUUGAACCUCUAGAAGCUAAUGAAUGGCUCAACACUCUCGAGCAGAAGUUCCGCUUGCGGAGGGUGACGGAAGAGUUAAAGGUGGAAUAUGCAGCCUACCAGUUGGAGGGCAAAGCAGGUGUCUGGUGGAGUCAUUACAGGACCAGCUUGCCUGCCAAUGCUGUUGUAACAUGGGAUCAGUUCAAAACUGCUUUCAGGAACACUUAUAUUCCCAAGGGCUUAAUGACUAUCAAGCAUACCGAGUUCAUGAACCUGACUCAGGGCACUAAAAGCUUAACUGAGUAUCUUCAUGCUUUUAAUAAUUUAUCUCGCUAUGCUCCUGAAAUUGUUGAUACUGAGGCCAAGAAGCUUGCAAGUUUCAAGAGGGGACUGGGACCCAAGCUAUCCAAGAACAUGGCUGGUAACAAGAGUACCACCUUCAAUGAGUUUGUGAGUGAUGCGUUGACCCAGGAGAACUCCAAUGUCGUCUAUGCCGCGUCCAAGAACCGCAAAAGGGCCUAUGAGGCAGGUGCUUCGCAGUCCAAGGCUCCGGUGACAAGCAAACCGGCCUAUCGCCCGCCCAAUGCAAUGACAAGGUACCGGCCACCGCAGAAGAAGUCAAAUGUGAAGACAGGAGUUUGCAAGUCCUUCACAGUUGCCCUUCCUAGGGGUGCUACAGGUCAAGGAAGCCCCAAGACUCCCCCUGAUAAUCGUCCCUGCUUUAACUGCAAACAAGUUGGCCACUAGGCGAGGGAUUGCCCUUAUCCCAAGAGGAAUUCUGCAGCUGGGGGUAAUAACCGUACUGGCCAAGUGCACUAUACCACCAUUGAAGAAAUCCCCGAAAGUGAAGUGGUCACGGCUGGUAUGUUUCUUGUAAAUCAACAUCCUGCAGUUGUCUUGUUUGAUUCUGGAGCUUCGCAUUCAUUCAUGAGUCAAGCAUUCGCAUCUAAGCAUGGGCAACAUGUAAUUGAUCUUGACAGUGGAAAAUUUUGCAUUAGUGCUGCUGGUAAUCAAAUCUCUACAAAUCAAUAAGUGAGGGAUGUGCAUAUUGCCAUUGAAGGGCGUAACUAUUCAGCAAAUCUUGUAAUCUUACCGGGCUUGGGAAUAGAUGUUAUCCUAGGAAUGAAAUGGAUGAGUGACCAUGGAGUGUUAAUAGACACCUCGACUAGGGUAAUCAUGUUGAAGGAGCCCGAUAGUGAAGAAGCUUUCUUAGUUCAACUCCCAAGAAGCAACGACAUCUGUCACGCUGAUAAUGCUAUUAGACCACUCACUGUGGCAGAGAUCCUGGUAGUGUGCGAGUUUCUGGAUGUCUUUCCAGAAGAUCUGCCUGGGUUGCCACCAGAUAGAGACAUAGAGUUUAAAAUUGAUCUAAUUUCGGGUACCGCCCCUAUCUCUAGAAGGCCAUAUCGAAUGCCACCCAAUGAAUUGGCAGAAUUGAGAAGCAAUUGCAAGAACUCCUAGAGAAGGGUCUUAUUCGGCCUAGUUCUUCUCCAUGGGGUUGUCCGGCUCUCUUUGUCAAGAAGAAGGACAAGUCUCUACGAAUGUGUGUAGACUAUCGUCCGCUGAAUGCCGUGACCAUCAAAAACAAGUAUCCACUACCAAGCAUUGAUAUCCUGUUUGAUCAAAUAGCUAAGGCUAAAGUAUUCUCCAAGAUUGAUCUGAGAUCUGGGUAUCAUCAAAUCAAGAUCCAACCCGAAGACAUUCCUAAAACGACUUUCUCUACCAGGUAUGGGUUGUAUGAGUACCUAGUCAUGUCCUUUGGUCUGACUAAUGCCCCUACUCAUUUCAUGUACAUGAUGAAUUCGGUGUUCAUGCCUGAAUUGGAUAAGUUUGUGGUAGUGUUCAUUGAUGAUAUAUUGGUGUAUUCCGAAAAUGCCCAAGAACAUGAGAAGCACCUUCGGAUUGUACUCACUAGAUUGUGAGAACAUCAGCUCUAUGCCAAGUUCAUCAAAUGUGAGUUUUGGCUGAAGAAAGUGCCUUUCCUAGGCCAUAUUUUAUCCGAAGACGGUAUUUCUGUUGACCCGUCAAAGGUGCAGGAGGUUCUAGAUUGGAAGGCCCCGACUUCAGUGCAUGAGGUUUGAAGUUUUCUCGGUCUAGCCGGAUAUUAUCGCCGUUUUAUUCCAGACUUCUCCAAGAUAGCCAAGCCUAUGACUAAGCUACUGCAAAAAGAUGUGAAGUUUGUGUGGUCCCAGGAGUGUGAAGUCGCUUUCACCACUUUACGCCAUUUACAGACCACUGCUCCUGUUUUGGCACAGCCUGACAUUGAAAAGCCAUUUGAUGUCUUUUGUGAUGCAUCUGGCACUGGCCUAGGUUGUGUACUCAUGCAAGAAGGUUGAGUUAUUGCCUACGGCUCUCGGCAGUUGAGGAAGCAUGAAGCCAACUACCCGACUCAGGAUCUAGAGUUAGCAGUAGUUGUGCAUGCGUUGAAACUUUGGAGGCAUUAUUUAUUAGGUAAUCUGUGUCACAUUUAUACUGACCAUAAGAGCCUCAAAUAUAUCUUCACUCAGCCCAAACUAAACAUGAGGCAAAGAAGAUGGUUGGAAUUGAUAAAGGACUAUAAUCUGGAAGUACACUAUCAUCCAGGCAAGGCCAAUGUUGUAGCCGAUGCUCUAAGCCAAAAACAACAUGUUGGACCCCUCCUAGAGGAAGGCUUCAAUUUAUUGCAUCCUGUGGUCCUGCACAAUAUUAUAGUCAGUUGCUCGUUAGAGAGUCAAAUUAUAGAGCUCCAGAAGACUGACCCGAGUAUCUUCCACAUCAAGAGAAAAAUGAAAGAGCAAGACACCAAGCAUUUCCGGGUAGAUGAGAAAGGUGUGCUGUGGUUUGACGAUCGGCUAGUUGUAGCUAAAGACCGUGACCUACGCAACAAAAUCCUUGAUGAAGCUCAUUCUUCCAAGUUGUCCAUUCAUCCUGGUAGUAGCAAAAUGUACCAAGACUUGAAACCUUGUUUCUGGUGGACCAAGAUGAAGAAGGAGAUAGCAGCUUAUGUUGCUAGGUGUGAUACUUGCUGCAGGGUAAAGGCAGUUCACCUUAAACCUGCAGGUUUAUUGCAACCUUUGUCAGUUCCGGGUUGGAAGUGGGAAGAAAUCACCAUGGAUUUCAUUGUUGGACUUCCCCCUACCCAGAAGGGACACAAUUCCAUAUGGGUGAUUGUUGACCGUUUGACCAAGUCAGCUCAUUUUAUUCCCGUACAUUCUACAUACCGACCAUCCGACUAUGCUGAGUUAUACUUCUCUCAGGUUGUUAGAUUGCACGGAGUGCCCCGCACCAUUAUUUCUGAUAGACGUCCUCAGUUCACUGCCCGCUUUUGGGAGCAUUUGCAUUCACUCCUUGGUACAAAGUUGGUUCGCAGUUCAACCUACCACCCUCAAACCUCCAGUCAGACUGAGCAUGUGAAUUAAAUCUUGGAAGAUAUGUUGAGGGCAUGUGUCAUCUCUUCCAAGGGCGCAUGGGAAAAAUGGCUACCCUUAGCUGAAUUCUCCUACAAUAAUAGUUAUCAAGAAAGUAUUCAAAUGGCUCCUUUCGAAGCUUUGUAUGGCCGCAAGUGUACAACUCCUCUAAACUGGGUCGAACCAGGUGAAAGGAGGUACUACGGAAUUGACUUUGUCAAAGAAGCCAAAAAGCAAGUCCUCAUUAUCCAAAAACACAUGGAAGCCGCCCAAGCUAGACAGAAAAAGCUAUGCCGACCGAAGAAGGAGACCUCUCGAGUUUGAAGUAAGUGACUUUGUGUACCUAAACGUAUCACCCAUGAAGGGAGUAAACCGCUUUGGUGUGAAAAGAAAGCUAGCCCCUAGGUAUGUGUGUCCUACCAAAUCAUUGAGAAGGGUGGCAAGGUAGCUUGCAAGGUACAAUUACCACCAGAAAUGAGAGCUAUCUUCCCUGUAUUCCAUGUAUCUCAACUCAAGAAGUGUCUUCGUGUGCCCGAAGAAAGAGUUGAAACAGGAGGUCUUAAGUUGCAGUCUAAUCUGUCCUAUGAACAGAAGCCAGUGCAAGUUCUUGAUGUCAAGGAAAGAGUUACUCGAGGGAGAGUGAUUAAACUUUUCAGAGUUUUGUGGAACCGCCAAAGUGAAAGAGAUGCGACUUGGGAAAGGGAAGACUAUUUAUAAGUAACUUACCCCGCAUUCUAUGAAAAAUGGUAUGUCUUUCAAAUCUCGGGACGAGAUUUUUGUAAGGGGGAGGGCUGUAACACUCCUAGUGUUAGCUUUCAUGUUAACCAUGAGCAUUGCAUCAACAUAAGCAUCAUCAUGCUCAUUCAUAAGCAUCCAUCAUGAUCACAUGUCACCUUAUGUAUAUCCACUACAAGAAGUGUGUGGCUUUUUGACAUUCUAUUAUGUCAUAAUGUAUGCAAUUUAUGUCACAAAUUGAGUUUUAUGACAUCAAGGUGACAUAAACUGUAAUGUCAAAAAGCCACUGUCACAAAAUGAUUUUAUGGCAUCUGUUUUGCUAAAUGUCAUAAGUUUAUGACGUGUAAUUUCAGUGUCAUAUAAUCUUAUGACACUAGUUUACUGUCAUUAAAUCCUAGCCUUGCCAUGUAGGCAAUGCCAUGUAGGAUGAAUUGCUGACAUGGUAGGAUGGAGAAAAAUGUCACAAAUUAAAUUUGGCUUGCUAGAGUCCGCAAUUGUUUUUCAGCCCACUCACUCAACAAUUACACAAUCUUGACAAAAUCCCAGGUUGGAAAAAUUAUAUUGUCAAACUCAUACAUCCAGGUAGCAAUAUAUAUCACGCUACAUCUAAGUCACAUGUCCAAAAUGACAAAGAACAUAGCCAUUUCAACAUCUUAAAUAUUCAUCAAGCUAACAAAAAGAGCUGUAGCUACCCCUAAACAUUACUGAGGCUUUUCACUUUACUGAGACAUCCUCCAUACCACACUAUUAACCAAUCUGAAAGAAGCAAAUGGUAGCCAAAUUAGUUAAAGAUAUAAAGAUUAGAGUUAGCUCUAGGUUCAUGCAUAUCUAUUGGACAGAACCAAGCUCCCUGGUCAACAUAUAAUAGUUAAUGAAACAAAUCUAUCCACAAAGAUAAUACUACAACUAGGAUGUACCGUGAAACAAGCUCUCUGGUUAUAAUUUUAAAAUAUUGUCCAUUUAUCUGACAUUGAGACUAUACAACAUUACAGAACCAUAGUAUCCUAACUAUAUAGAAAAGCCAAUAUACAGUAGAAAUAGUUGGUCAAUGAAGGGUUACUUGAGGCUUGUAGAUGGAGUGAGUAAAAAAUGUGCUCUUAACAUAAACCUGCAACCAUGGCACCAGGAUAGCUGAUCAAAACAUUGACAACUUGUACCCUCAUCAGGUGCCUUAUUCAAUUCAAAAAUUGUAACUAAAUUGUAACUACGUUGAUCUAACUUCAUUCUUCUACAGUUGGCUGUCUAGCUGAAUAAUAUGCCAGGCAACACAUUAAUGAUUUCUCCCUACUGUUCCAGAAGCAAGCAAAAAGCCAGCAGCAAGGAAUAUUCAGCUAUAGCUUAAGAGUCUUAAUUCUUUACUAAGAAAAUGUUUUGAUUCUUUACCAAGACAAGGCAAGAAAUUAUUUCAGUAGAAGAAAAUGUUGCUUGUCAAUAUUGUUGUAAGUUCAAAUUUUAGAUUUGUGAUAGAAGUUAAAAGGUUACCAAAUUAAGUUAAAAUGUUACCGAAUUAAAAGGUUACCCCAGAAGAUACACUGACUGAAGAUGGGCACGACCACUAUGUUCUGAAAACUCAUUUGUUUACAACCAUGCAUAGCAUGUUAAUAAGGCUAACAGUGAGAAAAUUUACCUGUGACUGCAAGAACUUGACCCAACAUCUUCAUAUGAUAAACUCAGUCCACCAUACUUCUUGUCAGUUCUAGUCUGUAGAGAGAAUAUCUAGAGUUAGAUAUAUUGAGAACAAUAGCAGGAUUGCCAAUUAGCUGUAAAAUCAACAUAUUCCUUCUAUUCUUGCCUGAUGCAGGCAUCAGCUAUAGACUUUAAAAUAUGCCUGACCUUAAAAUAACAGAGCCAGAAUUGACAUAAUUCCAAAUUCUCUAAACAAGAUCAAAGAAAUGUAGAGUCAGGUAACACACUUGCUCACAUAAUGUGCAAAGUAUUUGAAUAUCAUAAUAAACAAAGGCUGUUGUAAGGGUAUGUACAACCCAUAGACAGUUGCUGCCUAUAUAUUCUUGGAAUUUACAAUAGAGACAGUUAAAUAGACAACUCAUACAACCCAUAGACAGAGGCUGUCUAUUUGGUUGUCUAUAAAUUAUUUAAUGCUCAUAUAUAAUUUAUGAUCAACUAUGAAUACCAUUUCUGUAUAUACCAUUGUGUUGCUAGUGCAGAAACAUAAAUGAUGAGACAUAUAUGCACACUAGGAACAGAUUCACGCUACUGAAUAACAAUCAACAUAUUCACAAAUUCACUGAAAAAUAUAGAAUAAGAAUGAGAGCGAACAGUGUGCAUACAACAUUCCAUAUAGUGACGCCCCUCUCUUGUCAUUCUCAUUGUCAUUCUUUAGCAUGUCAGUUUGGUAGCAACAGAAGCUACCAUAAUCCCAGGUGCAGCAGGGUUGCAACAAAGCGCCAUCUGCCAGAGAGCCAUUCAGUUAUCAGAUAUACCAGGCAUUCGGAAAAUAGGGAGAUCAAACCCGUGUGUACGCUCGCCGAGACACAAGAUAAGCUCAUCCAGGAGCCAGAGUUACCCAAUUCAGAUCAGCAAGUAGGCACCAGCAAGUCUGGCACGAGCACAGCGCACUAAAUGGCGUGGGUGCGGUGCGCGCGUGCGGGGGCGAGCAAAGACGGAGGCAAGCAGCAACAGAAAACGGAAGAGGGGAGAGGGGCACAGGGAUGGAUCCGAGACCUUGGACUUGACGGAGCGCUUGAUGAGGGACCACAGCCCCAGCACGGAGAGAACGAACAGCCCCAGCGACGUGUAGUAGCUCGCCUGCGAGUACCCUGUCCCGCCGACGGCCACCGCGGCCGUGGCAUCGAGCAGGACCGCGGCGCUGUCCAGGGACGCGCGUGCUGGGGCGGCAUGGACUCUCCUCCUCGGACCGUGUCACCGCCGCGCCCCGCGGCGGCGCCGGCGGCAGGGCGCGGAGCGGGAGGAGGAGGCGCCUCGCAGCCGCGGCGGCGGUGGCGUCCAUUUUGUGCUGGGGAUAAGGGCAGAGAGAGAGAGUUGUGCGGCUGAGGGAGGGUCAGGGAGAGGGAAGAUAGGGAGAGAGAGGAAUGGUUUAUAUAGUCUAGGGUUUUUAGAUGGGCCGAUUUGGGCCAUGGUCUGCAUAGUAAUAUUGGUCAUUUCUCCGUCCAACUAUAUUUGAACAACUGAAAAUUAUAGAAUUCUUUUGACAAAACAUAGAAUUUUUUCUGACAUACAACUUUUAAUUGUCACUAAGUCACUAUGCCUAACAUAUAAUGUCACAAAAUGGAUGAUAUAGUAACAUUCUUACAAUUGUCAUACUAAAAACGUUAAAAAGCCAUGUAUUUAUUGUAGUGUUAGUUGGGUAAAAUUUUUGGCUUUGGCUACUGUAGCACUUCCGUUUGUAUUUGACAAAUAUUAUAUAAUCAUAGACUGACUAGGCUCAAAAGAGUCACGUCACAGAAUUCGUAUUACUGAUGUGGCAAUGUUCUUUGCAAAUUAUCUAAAAAUAAUUCAAUAAAUAUUUUGUGACAUAUAAAUAUACCUUAUGACAUAUCAAAUAUAGUCACUAGAUGUUGUGACAUAUAAAUAGACCUUAUGACAUAUCAAAUAUCGUCACUAGAUGAAAUUUGAUUAGUUAUAUGACAUUUGUUGUGACAUACAUUUUUUUUUGUCAUUAAGUCAAGGUGUCUAAAAUAUAAUGUCAUAAAACAGAUAAUAUAAUGACAUUAUAGAGUUUGUCAUGCUAAAUAUGUCAAAAAGCCACCCACCUCUUGUAGUGAUCUUGUUUGAUUGAAUUGCUUGUAUGGCUUGUUAUGAGUGAUUAUAAUGGGUGACCAAUGCAUGUGAAUGUACAAUCUCUUCCAAAUACUUCAAUCAUGUUUAUAAUAACUUUUUGAACAAAGUUCAUGUUGAAAGUUUUGGCCAAAAAUGCCCCUAAGUCAUGGUUAACCCUAGAUUGACCUAAUUGACCCCCUGGACCUCUCUUUAAAGAUGUUUUAUGAAACUGGUGUUAGAGACCUUGCAUGUAAAUGACAUCUAAAACAAAGUUGUAGUGAAUUUCAUAAGCUACAAAAGUUAUGUUAAUAACAUUUUAUGAAAAAGCUUGGAACACAUACAAAUUUAGCCCACAAGCCAGAAAUCAGUGCUGUUUCCACACUUAGCCGAAUUUGGCUAAGUCUCGGAUUCGGCAGAUUCGACAUAGGGUUCUUGGGAGCCUUGUGGUUUGAAAUCUAGGCUGAAUUAGACUUUGAUCUUUUAAGCAAACCUGUAGAUCUCUUGUAGCUCUAUCCAAAGGAUUAAAUUUGAGCCAAAACCAUUGAGUGAGCUGAGAGUAAAACAUUGUUGAAGAUCGGGUUUCAGUCACUGCAAUCGAGCAUUUCAGAGAACGAUUCAGUUUGGACAGAGUUCACCCGCCGCCGCGUGUCCGGCCACCUGUCGGCCGUACGCCGUCGCCGGCCCCUCCUAUCAGCUCCCACGGCGUCCACAAGUCACCACGCACUGAGUGGACGCCUCAGACGCGACCUCCACUCGCUCAGAGCGCUCCAUUUCGCUCCGCCAUAGCCUCGGGGAGCUCUCCCGGCCGCUCCACCGCGUCUCCGGCCAAGCCAGUCCACCCAGAGCUCCGCCUCGACGUCCUCUACCUCGGCGUCCACUUCAUUCCCUUAGCCGAGCAUCGGUGAGGCCGCAUUGCCAACUCCGUCGCAAGCUCCACCUCGCCGGAGUUCACAGAGAUCACCGGCAACGUGGCCAGACCUCUCUGGUUCACCUCUGGCCGUGAUUCUUCUUCCUAUAGUUUUGCCUUGAGUCGCUCUUGCUCGUCCGCAACCUCUACCACGUCGCCGUUGCCACGGUUCGCCGGCGUAACGCCGCGCAGCACCAUCGCUCCACCAUUCGCGACGGCGAGCACCCUAAGGUCCAGUAGAGCGCGGGUAAAGUAGGUCAAUGAGUUCGCCUUGAGGAGAGGAACGCGUAGAUGCCCUUGGAUCCGACCGAGACCUCGCCGUCGUCGAGUUUCGCCCGCGACGAGUGUCUCCCCUGUCUCUGUGUCGCUGUCGAGCGGGUGCCGCUGACCAGUGGGUCCCCCUGUCAGCCUCUCUCUCUCACACCCCUGCUUUUCUGUUUUGUAGAUCCUGUGUUCAUUUUGUAAAAUCCAUAUCUCGAGUUUUACUGAUUCAAAGGAUGUGGUUCCAAUUUUGCUAGGUUCCUGUAGUAAUCUAGUUUUUAAUAAAAAUAUGAAACAUGCCAUGUUUUUGCAGAAAUAAAUAGAUAUGAUUUAAUUUUAACUAAGUAGGAGUAGCUGAGGUUGAUUAAAUUGUCUAGUUAGCCUCUCUACCAGAGAAGAAGUAUGCACUUACUUGUUAUUCUGUGAUUCAAAUAAUUUUUGGAGUUUAUGCUCAUGUUUAUACCUUGCUAUGUGUUCCUUUGCUCAGCAUCAUGACAUAUUGCAUCCUAUGUGCAUUCCCUAUGUUUAUCACUUGUCAUGCAUACAUAGGUGCACCAAGGGAGUGACGGUCUUGGAGUAUGAGCUGCCGGAACCGGAGGAACAACAAGGGGAGCCACCUCAAGGAGCUGAGGAGGAGGAUCUGCCGGUGUGUCCCGACCACCGCCCGUCCACCUACGUUGAAGGCAAGCCCCAGAGCAUUAUAAGCCUCCCACUAUUUUUGUUAUCAUGUCCAGCUAUCAAUUGACUAUGGUUAUGUAUUGUUGCAUUCAGUGUUAGGCGUUGAUAUGACACCCUUGCUGCAUAAUUAACUACCUUGUCCACCUCCUACCUUACCUAAGUAGGUCCAGGAUCGAAAUGAUGCUUAGCCAUGCUUAGCACGGUAGAAGCCGAGUGAUUUCCUGUCACCUGCGAGAGAGAGGUGGAUGCUGAUCACGGUUGGCUAUAUUUGCUAUCGUGGAAAUAACCAUGUGCUAAUAAUGAACUGGAGACCGAGCGGGAUGACGAUAGUGCAGCAACAAGGCAUGGAGGUCUUGGGUGUGAAUCUAUCCCCGUCUGUGUCGUUUAAGGACCAAAUCGCUGUACGUCCCCGUGUCAAGUUGAACGCAUGUCUAACACUUAGUUGGCCGGAUAAGUCGUUCCGACCGUGAAGCCUACGAGUGCAACUCCGGCCGGAUACCCUGUUCUGUAUGAGUGCGCACCCCGGUUGGUAGUAAGUAUGUGCGGGAAGUCAAUGGCGUAAGUCCGAGGUGUCACGUUAGAGUCUUGACCCUGGCAGAUUGGCGGUCCCUUGGGGUGCGGCGCUGGGCGGACCCACGAAUUGGUCCAGAGUUGUGCUAAAGGUGAUCCGAGCUGCCGUCAUGAAGUAUGCUUGGGUGAGUGUUAGGAAUACCCCUCCAGCUGGAUAGGAAUCGAUUCGAAUCGCCGUCUCUCCCGGAUAGUGAGAACUUGACUUGGGCAGCGGCAAUGUAGAACUCACUAAUUAAACUUGAUGGUUAUGAUGAGGAUGUUGAUAGCAAAGUGAUAAUCCAGAUAUGGUUAUUAUUGGAAUGCUUAAAUACUCAAGUGUGUGCUUAGAAGAGGUGCUAAUCUAGUGGAUAGUUGUUAAAUAUUGAACCUGCUGCCGAAAUACUAUGAAUAUGUGACUUACAACUAAAGCUCUUUAUGCAAUAAUGUGAGUCCAACAAGUCCACAAAUAUUAGCCUUGCAUACUCCUUGGUGUCACUUUAUUUUUGGUUUAUUAUGGGUAAGUCUAGCUGAGUAUAUUCUUGUACUCAGGGUUUUAUUUACCUUUGUUGCAAAUGAUAUCGUUUAUCACGGCUACUGUCCUAACUGUCAUCAUCCGGCUGCGGACGAUGAAUAGAUCAUGGGCGUGAUCACCUCCUUUUUCUUCAGUUAUGCUUUUAUUGGGAUGACUAUGGAACUGGCAUGUCAAUUAAACUGAGUAUGUGAUGUUUCCAAAACUACUUUGCUUCCGCUACUAAACUGGUUUGUAAUAACCUUAUGCAAACUUUGAUGUGUUGUAAAACUAUGUUCUGUGACGAAUGGAUGUAAUGUGUGAUGGCGAUGCUUGAUCAUGUAUGAUCUUGGUUGUAUGUUGGUUGAAUCGAGGUCUUUCGAGAUUUCGUCGGACUACCGGGUUUAUAUGGGUUCAAGUUUAUUGGCUUGACUGCUUUGUGGUCGCUAAUUCACUUGAAUUCUUAUAAAUUGGAUGGUUCUGUUACACUGUUAGCAUGUGAACAUCGGGUAAUGUGGGAGACAUUAGACCUUGUCUAAAGAGGAAGGCAUUGUAGGUGUUGGACCAAAAUAAGCAAGCAGCCCUGAGCAUAGGCUCAUUGUUUUUAAUGUCUAGGAGAGACAGAGACAUGCACUUAUCCAAAUUGUGAAGCGCCUAAUCUAUUCUCUUCUUAAAUGCUACUUUAAUCAACAAGUCCCUCGAGCCUAGGAUGAUUGAUGGCCAGUUCCAUAUAGAAAUCCUUUUGUCCCAGAGACUGUAAUACCCGAUUUUAAGGAUAAAACCAGAUAUGCACCAUAUGUGAGUCUUAGAAGUCAAAUCUCACAUAUAGCUACAAAUAAGGGGUAAUAUCAAAUGACAAUGCAUAAGUAUAUAACAUACUUAGUAUACAAGAGAUAACCUUUAAGCAAACAGCGGAUAGACAACUCCAAACUUUGGGUAUUAACUUCACUAUACAGGAUCCAACUAACUGGUUGAUCACAAGCCCAAAACUUUUCCUGAAGGUUGUUGGUGAAAUAGCAAGAGUGAGUCCAUAUCGAACUCCACAAGUAUAGCAACUAGAUGAUAUAACUCUCACAAUCUCAUGAUCAAUGUGACAUAAAUAAUGUAGAGCAUUAAAUAAUAAAUAAUGAACAUAUUUAACACACAAGAAUCAUCAUCGUCGAUGCAAGAAUCCCCAAGGCCGCUCCUGACCAUGAGCUCGGCUAGUAUACCAGUUUUUUUAACACUCUGCAGAGGUUGUACAUCUUUACCCAUGAGUCAUGAUUUACCCUUUUGCCCGAGGCCCGUCGACCUCUUAACCCACUACGAAGGAAGGUCGGCAGGGAUCACUAUGAAGUCUUUCAAAGGUUCGUCUAACAAAUUAGGGCCGCUUGGUUUCAUUAGUCAGUCCAUGUGAUUCACCCACAGGAAUCCACGGUUUGCUACUCCCCAAUUGCGCCACAACGGGUAACCGCUAACGAGCUAGAAAAAUUACUCAUACUUAACUAAAGCUAGAGCCAUUAUAGCCCUCAUGGUUGCACUGUUGUCCUGGUUAUCACUUACAGAUAAAUCAUCAAGUGGCUAAAAAGUCAUUUUUAUCAUUUGUUGCUUAAACAUUAAUCAAGUCACAAGAUCAUGGUCACAAAAAUAAAAUCCAAAUGCUAUACUUGCCUCAAUCCAAUUGCUCUUGCUGAUCCUUUUGGUUCUGCUGGUCUUACUUGUUGCCAAGGCUCUAAUCUUGAUCACUGAGGUACUGCUCACCGUCUAAACUCGAUCAUCGAUCACACAAACAAUCGGAGACAACAUACACGAAGCAAACAAAGCUACAAUUAGAACAGUACACCAAACAUAUAAAAAUAGUAUGAAAAGUUUAUAAAAUGAGUCUACGCAGCGCUACGAUCACACAAACAUAAAGUUCACAAAAAUCAGAAUUAAAACGUAGAAGUUAUGAAUUUUCGAAGAUUUCCUAAAGAUAAAUAAAUAAUUAAAUGCUACUGCGAAAAUAAAAUGUUUCAAAACAGUAAACUAAUACUUCCAACAUAUAGAGCUCGUAAUACGAAGUUAAUGAAAUUUGAAUGGGUCAAAUCGGAUUUAAAACGAAGAUUUUAUGAGCUAAACAAAUCCAGUGGCAAACUUGUAAAUACUGAAAACGUAUUUGAACUCUGAGUAAUCGAUUUUACGUUUUCAAAUCAGUAAGGCAUAUUCUUAUGAAUGCGUAAAGGACGGCGGGUUCUAUAUUUGAAAAAGGCAGGGUCUCUUUAACAAAGUUCCCCGCGAAGGGGUAAGUUCUGAUCUGAGCUGUUCGACUGAGAUCUGACGGUGGAGAUCAGUUGGGGGGGGGGGGGUUUUAGCUGCCGGAACAGUGCUCCGGCCGGCGGUCCUCCAUGGCCGGUGGCAAAUUUCUCGCCGGGGCUCAUGAACUAAGCGCUGAGGUCCACUAAAAACGGAACCGAGGGCAUGGGAACGAAGCGGGAACUCAAGCGAACUCACCUAGGCUUCUUUUGGGUCAGGGAGAGCUUGGAGGUGCCGAACUUCGCGCGAAGGCGGUUAGAUGAGCUCCUUCAAGGUUCAGCAGCCAUUAGGGAAAGCUAAGGUCCGACAGAGAGCAAAGACAACGGAUCAGUGACUUCGUAGGGGUGAUGUGGAGCUCGUCACAGACCCAAAAUCGGAGGAAGGGCAACGAGGAUCGACAAGGGCGACGGCGGCUUCAUUGCUUCUCUAACGAGAUCCCAGAGGCGGUCACGGGAUGGAGCUGGGUCGCUCGACUUCAACAGAUGGAGAAAGGAGAAGGUGCGGGGAAAGGCUAGGAGUUUUAUAGCGGCUUGGUGCGUGCACGGGCAAGAAAUCCCGAGCCAACCGGGAUUGGUUUCCUUCUGGGAGUCCCUGCCGCACCCGACUCCAGGAGGAAGAAGAAAGGAAGGAGGGAGAGGAGUCGCUGCCCCGCGGGGUCCAGCUAUCGGUGAGAGAAAAGCGUGGGGCCGGGUUGUCAGCCAAGGAGGAGAGAGGGGGAGAUCGGCGCGCAGAGAGCUGGCCGCUGGGCCGCGCAGCGCGCUGGGCUGGGGCGGAGGAAGUGGGCCGGGGGGAAGAAAGAGGGGAGGGGUAGGACUGGGCCUUCGGGCCAAAAAUCCAGGGAGAGAUGAGGGUUUCCCUUUUCUUCUCUUUUUUUAGUUCUUUUUCCUUCAAGCCAUUUUCAAAACCAAUUAAAAUAUGUUUGAAAUAUAUUUGAACUUUGGUCAAAUCACUCAGUACAAUAAAUUCUCCAGCAUGAAUGCACAACCAUAUUACUAAUCUUAUGAUAAAUUUUAUUUUAAUGAAAAAAAUAUUAUUCUUCCUAUAUCCUCAUGAGCACAAAAAUUCAAAAUUAAACCAUUUUUCACCAAUUUAAAAUGAGCAAAUUUUUUUGGGUGUUACAGAGACCUAGAUGUAUGUUGGAGUGCUUGAACGGAACUCUAUUGCUCUUGGCGACAAUUACUCUGCUUGUAUCUAGAUUGCCCAUUGGACCCAGGAAAGUUUUGUGCAAAUUGUCCUCAAGCGGGAUGAAUAUUUGACCCUAGAGAUCCGGAAAGGAAGAGUAAAGAAGGGUUGAUAGAGUAAGAAGAAUUCAGAAGAACAAAUGAAGGAGUAAUACCUUAGGAAUAUUGUCGAUGGACGCCAUUGGAGCAAGAAAUUUGAAGAACUCAAUUAGAUAGGGUUGAAUCGUGCAGAGAUUUAGUGGAUUAUGCGGGUUUUGAAUUUUUGACUGGAAUCACUUGUAGGGAAACCCUAGCUUUUAAGACUGGUAAACGGAGAAGACAGAGGAGGAAACAGACUAAUCAAUUUGUCCGUAUUGGUGUUGAUUGAGUAAGUGGCAAUUUUGGAAUAAAAUCAAUUUUAUCCCAAAAUUGGGGGCAUGUGUUAAUCCCAAAUUUUGGCGAGCCAAAGAACAGCCCGUGGGCCUGCUUUGCAAAAGGAGGGACAGCCGGAUAAAGUGGAUCAACUAAAUAAAAGCAUGAUGGAAGGAUGUUGAAUCAAGGCAAUACAUGAAGACAUGUCGGGUUUCAUGAAGAAGGACGAGUUAGAGUCCAAAUUACCUUUUUGAGUAUGUUGUGUAGUAUUAGGAAAUGAGACUAGGUUUCCGAGCUAUAAAUAGUAGAAACCUGAUCCUUGUAAGAAUAUACAUAAUCAUAAUACAGUCCCCUUUCAGCUUCGGCCACCAACCUUAGGAGUAGGAGUAAUAGUAGAUCUUGACGAGACGUUCAAUGAAUCGACCUGCAUUAGUUGAUUUCGACCUUCGGUUUGCUUGUAAGUAUUGUCAUGGUUCAUGUUUAGUUUGUCAUGGUUGCAUCAUCCGAACUUAUGUCAAACUCAAUUUUGAACUAGUUUUCGACUUGGAUCGUAUUUGUAAGGCUGUAUUGUAUCAAUCUCUUAUGAAUCUUGGUUCAAGUUAGUUAUUGGCUCUAUUAAAUUGGUAACUUAAUAGAUUCAUUAAGUUAUCAAUGUUGUUCAAAGAUUAAUGUGUUAUUUAUCGUAACAAUAUUCUGUCCAAUCAAGAUUUGACGAGUAAGUUUGAGCUUUAAAUAUGAACUUGCUAUAAACCCUAAGUAAACAAAGCAAAUUUAAGAUAACUAACCUGUUGAUCUUGAUUGUUACAUGUUGUGUGUUUGUGAUAUUUACUUUAUUAUGAUUAAUUUGGUAAUUAAAACUAAAUCUAGUUAUAAUUAAGUAGAUAGAUCUUGUUCAUGCUUCAUAUAUUAAAUAGUCGAUUCAGUUAAGCUUAAACAAAUAGUGCACGUGUGUGGAUCCGAAUAUGGUAUUAAAUAAACUAGUAAUUCAUGUUAAAUUUGUUGAAGCUCGCUGGCCACUAGACCAGAUGAAUAUAAAAUUAAUAUGACUAUGAAAGUAAUUUAUUAGAACCAUAGGCCUUUAGACCAGUUUUAAUGAAUUAUUAUUUAUCUAAUGGAUAAGAGGACAAAUACACGUAAGCUAUCUCUUGCAUACAUAUAGCAUAUCGGCUAAAUAGCUGAUCCGAUUGUUUUCACACGUAGAUGUGAUCUUUCGAUGGAAUAUCAAAAAUCUUAAUAACAAAUGUCUUCAUGCAUCAUCUUUACUAGUUGACUGUUUAGUCAAUUUCCUUUAACUAAAGGCUUCUUAAAGCCAUAUAUUUUGAAAUUGUCUAGCAACAACCGGCAUGUUUCAUAAUUUAAUGUUUGUAUCUCUUUCUUGUCAAUUUCAGGUAAAAUUGACUGGCACACCUCGGAAUCAAAUCACUAAGCUCGUGCGUUUGUGGCUUAGGAGGUCUAGAACAUUAGCUUCCGCAGUCCCUCUGAGUGCCACCGAGAUUUGUUGGUGUGAGAAACCAAUUUUUGCACAAACACGGUGGAAGGAGAGCGCGUGUAGACUGGCUUCUUGCUCGGCUGGCCAUUGGGCCAAUGCCGGAGGGUUAAAAAUGGGCCACUCGGGCCAGAAGGGAAGAAGAAGAGGUUUUUCUUUUUAUUUAGUCUUUUUUUCUUUCAAAGCCUUUUUGAAUCAUUUUCAAAAGCAUUUGAAUUCAAUUUGAAUUUGGUAAGACCACUCAUCAAAGUAAACCAAUUGCAAAGGCAUGUAUGCUCAAACAUAUUUCUACCUUAUGAUAUAUUUUAUUUUAAUGAAAAAUAUUAUUUUCCCUAUAUUUCAUGAGGACAAAAAUACAAAAUUAAAUUAUUUUUCAUCUAUUUCCAAAAGAGCAAAAUUUAGGAUGUUACAAGCAAGGGCACCACUAUGCCCGCGCGCUCCUUGCGCACUGCUCCGCCCGUGUUACAGGCGGCGCAUGCAGCUCGGUGAGGUGGGAAGGAGCCGCCGUGAGCCACAGCCGCCUGAGAGAGAGAGCAGGGGAAGAGCAGCGGAGAGGACUUAUCAGCGAGGUGGUAGGAGCAGCGUGCGACAGAGCUCGGCGAGGUGGGACGGGUGCAGCAGAGAAUUUUGGCAGCCUAACCGCCCUCAGAGAAACAAUGGUGCCUACGGAUUUAGAGAAAUUUCAGCGGAAUCAAGCACCGGAUAUAUACAAGGCCCAUUACCACAAGCGGUGUUCUUUCUGAACCGCCAGUGUAAAUCAUUUACACGGGCGGUUGACAUUGACAACAGCAUGUAGAAAUGCUUUUGUAUAGGCGGCUGACAUUGACCACUAUGUGUAGAAAUACUUUUGUAUAGGCGGUUGGCAUUGAUCACCAUAGUACCUGUACAAUUUUUUUAUAUUUUUUAUUUGCUUUGUUUUGUUUCUAUAUUGUUUAUAAAUAUUUAUAUUGUUUCUUUAUUAUUUUUAUAUUGGUAUUAUAUUUUGUUUAUUUUGUUUCUAUUUUUUCUAUAUUAAUUUUAUACAUUGUUUCUUUAUUAUUUUUAUAUGGUUUCUAUCUUAUUUUUAUGUUGUUUCUAUUAUUUUGUUUAUAUUAUUUCUAUAUUAUUUUUUAUAUCGUUUCUAUAUUAUGAUGUUGCAGGAAAAAAUAUAACCAUGUAGAUACAGAGAAAGGUAGCAUAAAGUACACAUUAUAACAUGAAUGGAUUACAUGAGAAAUAACAAACAUAAUUUCUUGUCCAUCGGGGCAUACCCACGUCAAGGAAUUGUGUGGAAUGCUACGCUUAAUAUUCCUUUAUCUUCAUUGGAUGGUCUAUAAAGAGAGACAUGUUGCUAAACUGUUAUAGCUUGUUGUUUUCUAGGAAAAACUACAUGCUUCGGCUUAUCUGUACUUUUCUUCUCAUUCUUAGAAAGGAUCUAUUCAGCAUAGAAGACCUGUGCAGCACGGUUAGCAAGGAUCCAUGGGUCAUCUUUGUAACCUACCUUACUUAGGUCAAGAACUCUAACCCUAUAGUUACCCACUUGAUAUGCUUGUCUUUGACCCAUUGACAUAUAAAAUACACCAUAGUGUAGUUCCCAUAUGUCCUCAGUGAAAUCAAGUAUGUACUAAUCACACCAUUUUCAUCGUCAAUGACCUCGCAUCGAACACCGCUCUUUUGUGCCAUGUUUUUUUUGUCCUUGGACUUGGUACAAAAUGUGAAGCCACUAAUGCCAUAGGUUUGCCAUGUCAAGACCUAGCAUGAUGGUCUAGAUGCCAAUUUGAAGACUUCAAAACGAGGUUCGCUAAAAGGAAGAAAAAUGAUAUUAACCAUACUAAGUAUCAUUUGGCACAACAUAUUAAAUAAAAUUGAGAAAAGAAACAAAAACUGCAUAAUUUAAAAACUUAUAAAUUGAGAAAUGUAGACAAAAACUACAUAAUAUAAAAAACUAACAAAAAUAACCUAUAUUUCUCUCUUCACAUAAAUACACAACAACACACAAUUCAUGGAAAUAACUAAAUAUAUCUUGGUUAAACUAGAGUGAGAAGCAAAAAUGAAAAGGGAGAGAGGUGAGACAUCAUGUAACCAUCUUAAGCAAUCUCAUUUGAGCAAAUAAAUAUAUAAACCUAGCUACUCUUUCUGUAACACAAGGUGAAACGGUAAAUCAAAAAAGUGGCUCAAAUUGAGCAAGAAUAAAUAAAAAGAGCCAAGAGAGACAUAAACUAACCUUUCUUAGCAACCUCCUUCAAACAAAUGAAGAUCAAAACCUCCCCCAUGUAUUUUGUGAAAACUAAACCUCCAAAAUGGCCUCCUAUGGAAGGUAGCUAUAGGAGGUGGAAGGUGUAUUUAUACAAGAAACUUUACUAGCGGUUACUUAAGCCAGCCACCAGUGGAAACCCAUUUAUACUGGCAGUUGACUUAAGCAAACCGCCAUUAUAAAUGGUUCAAUUCCACUAGCGGUUGCAUUAAGUGAACCGCCUGUGAAAACCCAUUUACAUAGGCAUUUCACUUAACACAACCACCAGUGGAAAUGAACCAUAUACACUGGCGGUUUGCUUAAGUGAACCGCCGGUGUAAAUAGGAUUCCACUUGUGGUUUUUUAGUCUGAUCGGCCAUUUUAUUUGCAUUGGCGCAAUACAACUAAUAAUGCCAGUACAAAUUUCAUACUACAGCAGUCGUUGAGUUUUUCUGUACUAGUGCUCUAUAACACUCCAAGUUUUGAAUUUCAAAUUUUAAUUUAAAUUUGAUUUAAAUUCAGUAUAGUUUGGCAUUUUAGGCAAUUAGUAAAAGAUUUAUGAAAACAAUUAAGAAUAAAUAUAAGAGAAACCUUGUUUGAUGCAUUCAUGCUGCUGCAUAUUCUUUUUGCUUGAGUUGUUUGAUUUUAUCUAAUGCAUGAUUUUUGACUUAAUUUUGAAGCAAGAAAGAAAAAUAUCAGUUUCGUAUUAAAAUAGGGAAAGGCUUUCUCUCUCGGCCAACUCUACCCUCCCCUCGGCCGAGCCCCGCCCUGCGCACAGCCCACGUGGGCCGCCAGCACCCCGGCCCAACCUACUGCGCGCAGCCUCCUUCCCCCUCUCUACCGCUGCCGCUGAUUCGUGGGGCCCAUGGACGGGUCGGGAAUACUGCAGAAGGCUCGGGAAGACACCACCUGAAUGGUGGGGGGCCACCUGCCAUAGGGCAGGUGCGGGCGCCCCACCUCUCAGACGCACCGGGGGCACAAGCCAAUUAGCUUCCACCUCGCGGAUCCUGCCUCCAUCGACUUUGAGGAUUAAUCUUAAGUGCAUGUUUAAGUUGGUUUGAUCCAAGGGCUAUGGUGAUCCUAGGGGGCUAUAAAUAAAGACCCUACCCCCUGGAGGGGGAGUUCGUUAUUCUCUAAGAAGAUCAAGAGAAGAACUAGACAGAGAGGGGUCCCUCGAAUGGAUCUGUCUCUAUAGGAUUCUUAGCCAUCAUCUCAAUUAGAUCUCUAUAGUUAUUUAGCAUAGCUACAUAGGAUUAGAUCUAGAACGAGUCAAGUUAAUCUUGGAGUUCAGAUCAAUCUUUAGUUCUUGGUAAACUCUUAUUCUCUUUGUUAUAUUUAUAUUAGUUCUUGCUACUAUGAAUAUGACUUUGAUCUAUUUGAUUAUAUUGGAAUUGACUUUAUUCUAUUUGCUUAUGUUCCCAAUUAUAUUGUUCUUAGUCUACUUUGAUUAUAUGCUUAGCAUAGUUAGAUUAGAAUUAUGUUUAUGCAUAGGAUCGUAUAGCGCUUACUCAUUAGGCUGAUGGGUAAGUGAUAGAUAUUGUGUAGGUGAGGUGCCUAGACCGUAUUUAUCUGUGAUUGCCCCUUAUAGUUCAGAGCUUGAGGUAGAUUGCAGGAGUGACAGUCCUGUUGAGUCCUUUGUACUCCUUCUCCCAAUUAUAAGGACUGUAGAGCACCAUUAUUACAGGGAAGUUCUUGCUCUGUUCAUGAUCUUUCUUGCUAAUAUCACUAUGCAUAGAUAUAACCUUUUCUAGUGACGAUGCUAGGUGUACUUGCACUAAUCAAUGUAUGCUUUGAUAGUAUAGUUAGAAUACUUAGGAUUUAUUCUUGUAGACUAUCCUAAUACCAUGCUAGUGCUAUAGACUUAGAGUACUCUAAUUGAGAUGAUUAUCAUAUUGAUCUUAUGGCUACGAAUUCCUAGUUCUCAUCUGUCACUUAUUAUUCAUAUUCAUAUAUUUAUCUUAUGUGACACUUACCCUGCAUGAGAGAUAGAUAAAGAUAUGGUUAAGCACUCCAAUGAUUACAUGCAGUGCUCAUUGCUCAUUAUCCAUUGCAAGUCCCUUCACAAUGGUAAAAAUAUAAAUAACGAUACCUGGAAUACUCCUGGUUGAAAUGCUACAUUAGUAUUAUCUGUGCGCUUGCGGAUCUUUAUUUAUUUAUUCCUAGAAAAGCAUAUAGAUUUAAUACCAACACAUAUACAUCAUGUUAGGGAUGACAACCUAGCUUAAGUGAUGUUAAGUGACUUUAACGUUGUUGCUAGGGAUAGGUUUAAGUGUCUAUUUUUAGUAGUUGCAUUAAGAAGUAUCAACAAGGGCGCCACCUCCCUCGAACCGACAUGGCAUCUGACGGCUCUAGAUGAUCCUCAGAGGCAAUUUGCUUCAUAGGUAAGUCAGUUGGCACGUGUUGGAAACAUUUGUGCACAUGGUGGAAAACCACAAUCCAUGUGACACUUGCUCCUUGCCUUUGGAUGAAACCAACUUUGCUUCGACGUUCUAGAUGAUGCCACAAGUGAAAUCACGUGGAUCGGUGACGUGGCAGCUGGGGUGGGGUGGCGCCCGCCAGGUGGGCCCUAGCGGCCGCCACCUGGACCUGGCGCCUGCCACCCUCUUAGGCCCCAGUGGGCCCACCGGUGUAGGACUUCCUUUUGGUGAUCAAAUUAUUGUACAUUUUCAACAUUUUCCCUACAUACAAAUAAAACUCAUGUACAAGUGGAAUUCCAUUAGUUUCAACCAAAAUUCCUAUCAUCUAUGUCUCUUUCAUCCAUUAAUUGAUGUCUUGUUGAUGGUUAAUAUAUGCAUUUAGUGAGCAUCAACAAACUCCGCCAAGCUAACCUUUUGCUCAUCCCUGAGCAAGACUAAAUAUUAGACCUUAAUUAGAUGAUCAAUCUUUGAUUUACAUGUUGACAUCAUAAAAUGAAUGCCCCUCACCAUCAUUACCAUGGAACUCAUCACCUUUCCUGCACUUAAGAUUAGAACUCAUGCUAGCUAGAAAGAGGGUUUAUUGCCCAUGCCUUUUUGCUUUAUCACAUCAUAUGGAGUUUUUCAUGCAUUUUUUAAAGAAAGCAUGUCUAGUUAUUUCUUUGGCACCCUCAGUCUCUCUUGUGUAAGUGAAAAUAUUUCCUCACCAUAAAGGCUAUACAUGAUGCCUUUAAUCCUAUCACUAAUUAUUUGUGGAGUUUCUCACCUAGGAAAAGAUGUGGUGCAUACAAUGCUAAGCAUAAUGUUGCGAAGUCAAGCAGUUGGAUCAAAGGAGCAACAAGUCAUACUAUAGAACAAGAAGUGUUCGUGUGUGAUAACUAUGGUGGUUACUCUGUCAAGGCAUUUCUCCUCUUGAUUGUAUGGGUAUGGCUUUUUUUUUUGCUGAGAGACAUGUCUCUUUUUUUUCAAAUAACCAUACCUAGAUUUGACACUUAAAACUAUGAGGAGUAAAUAUUUGCCAUAGAGUAGUAUAUGAUGGAAUUGGCAUGUUUGUGCGUACUUCUCGGUGUGAGAGUAGCAAUAUAUAAGUGGGUGUACGUGAUUCUUGAUCUUAUUAGCAUGACAAGCUUCUCAACUAAGACUCGAACAAAAGCUUGAUUAAGCUCAAUACUAGCAUGUAGCAAGGUGGGAUUUUCUCUCUACUAAAGUGCAUAGAAUGUUUGGCUUUGGUAGGUAUUUUAAUUGCCACAGAAAUACUAGAGCAAGUUUUAUGGCAAUUUUAAAAUAAAUGCUCCAUAGGUUGAUCUUGCUAAAGACUGGACUCUAAACUUGCUCAUUUAUUCACUAAUCAUUUUGUUCUUGUAUCUCAAGUUUAAUUCUAGCAAUUUAUCCCACGGAAAAUAAGGUUCAUGGCAUUAGAAAAAAGACAACAACAAGUUCAUCAUUAAUUAAUCACUAAUUUUAGGCAUGAUAACUUGUGAGUGAAAGCUUUUUAUUCAAUUUAAAACAAACUUAAACAAACAUGGUGAUAGAAAUUUUGUUUAUUUGCUAACAUUACCAUUUUUAGAUGCAAAAUUAAAAUUACUGAAAGUAAAGAAAAUAAGAACUGGCCAGGCUCAAGAAAACUUACCUGAUGAUGGGGGUCCUCCCCCAAGCUAGUCUUCAUCAACAGGUAGGGUCAUACGUCCACCCCUAGCGAUGAUAAAAAUUGUUCCAACGGGCCUGGUUGUCUUGUGCAAGCGAGUUCAUUUCUCUAAGUUCUCCUCCGGUCUCCUGAUGAAACUGCUGAAAGUCCUGUGAAAGUAGGUUAAUGUCCUAGCGCAUUUGUGCACCAUCAAGUUGUAGUCCCUGAAGCUGGUGCUGCAAGUAUCCUAUGUCACGCUCCCACCUUAUAUUGGUGGAAUAACGAGCAGGAUGAUUCGAUGGAUAACCAUCCAAACUCAUCAUGUCAUUGUCCCUACGAGGGGUGUAGCGGAAAGAACCUCCAAGUGAUGGUUGGGACAAAGUCCCCAUCUGUGACGAGUGGAAUGAGGCCUCUCCAGCGGGUCCCCAUGAAUUAUGGCCCGAUGGGUGCUGCACUAGCUGUACAUUCUAGUUUGAUCCCCCUGCUUGAUCAAAGCCAGGGUGAUAUCCCAUCCAGGAUCCGCAUGGGACGAAUAGGGGGAACUGGUAUGGAGUGUGUCAUGGUGCAUUUGUGUAGCUUGGGUAGCUUCUUGGGCAACCCCGGUUUGAGACCUCAUCCUUCGGCACGGUGCCUGCAUAGAAUCAACUUGUGCACAUGCAAGCCUAUGGGCUCGCUGCUCCUCGGUCUCGAGGGGUAUGCUGAGGUGAUAAACAUUGGCAAGCCAAUAUUCGGGGUUAGGCAAACUAAUUUCAUUCACAUAGCCCGCAUAAAUCAUGUAAAGUGUACCCUCUCUUUUGUCUUCCUGCAAGAGAUGUGCUUGCAGGAAAUGAUCUAGAGUAAGCUCUCCCCUCUCGACUGAAAUGUAAAUAAUUAAAGCGCCAUCUAGCAGCCCCAUAUUCCUAGCAAUUCUAGUUACCCAUGAUGUGAUUUCUACAUCACCAUCUCGUGUAAAAGUUUUAGACCAAUAUUCUACCAUGGACCUAGCAGGGGACACUCUAAUCCUAUUAACUGCAGCAUAAAGCAAUUGCAUUUCCUUUUUUCUAAUAGGCCUAAUAUCAACUCUAGGAUAAAAAGUGAGGCCUAAAAAUAGGUGUAAAAACUGCAAGGUAGGAUUACGAAUGUUGCUAUUCCUAGGCAUUUGAUGGGUUCUAUUAUCUGCUAUUUCUUUCCAAAAUAUUUUCUUAUCAUAGCUUUCACAUGCUUUAUCUAUGCUUAAUUCAUAGCUUCUAUCAAAUCCUAGCAAUGCGCUAAAUUGCUUCCAUGUAUAAGAAAAUUCCUCAUUAAACAUCCUAAACUUGCAGUAACUAGCAGAUAAUUCUAGCGUGCAUAGGAAUUCAAUUGUGAGUUUUUUGCACCCAUCCUCAUUUACCUGCCAUGCAUUUACCCACCCCAAUGCACGGAAAAUAAAUUGAAAGUCAGUGAUUAUACCUGUGUUGUUGAGAAGAUCGGGGUCAAUGAAAUGCGUGUGGAGGAAGUUGCGGUCGGAGAUCAUGCGGAAUGCUUCCCUCUCUCGACGGCUUUGCUAGACAAUUUGGUUGACGUCGGUGAGCACCCUCACCAUGGGCGGUUGAGUACCCAUGAUGGAUGAUGAUUGGCUAGAGUGAUCAAUGGACAUUGAUCCUCUACCACGUGAGGAGCUUCGCGUAGGGCUAGUACCCCUAGGAUGAUCUCCACGGCUACUGGAAUCACUUCCAGACCUGAAGUGAAUAUAUGGUUCGGCCUGCUGCUGCUACGUCCAUCCUUGUUCUUCUUCUUAGAAACUUUCUUCCACAUUGUUCCUACACAAAAACACAACUAAACAAGAGAGGUGAUGGGUUAGGAAAAAUAAACACACCCCAUGGGGGUAUUCUACUUCCCUGGAUGAACCUCUCCUUUGCUUAGUGAGGACUUUUGAUUAGUGAAUAACCAAAAGAGCUUCACGUAUUAUGUGUUGGUGGCAAGGACAAAGAAAUGAAAGAGGGAGAGAGUAUGGUGUUGCUGGUGAGUGAGUGAGUGAUGCUUGGGAACUUACGGAGUGCGUGGAGCAGCAAAGGGGGCAAGGGGGAGUGGCGGCUGCUAGAGAAAGAUGACGGGCACCAGCCUUGGCCCUCCCAAUCUUGUUGCUUUGCUUUGCCACUCUUCCUAGGAUGCCCAAAAUGCAACAAACAAUCAACAAAGGUGCAUGCACGGCUCCAAACUCUUGAGUGAAGAGAAAGAAAAAGGAGAGAAAGAGAUGAGUAGGGGGGAUCCUAGUCUUUCAUCUCUACUACCCCUUUUGUCAUUUGUGCGCAUGUGAGUGAUCAAGGAGAUGAAAGGAGGAAAAGAACAAUAGGAGGGGGUGGCGGGCGCCAGCCCUUUUAUGUCCCAUCACUCGUGUCGAUACUGCUGAUUACUCUACUAUGCUAGAUUAUGCAGAAAAUUAAAUUUACUUAAUAAAAACAAAGUGAAAUUAGGGGUAAGAUAUGUACCUUUGCUUACUUACCUUGUUUAGGAGAUUUGGAUUCCUCUCCAUGGUGAUCAUGGUUGGUGUAGUGGCUUCCCGUGAUCAUUGCCGACAUGCUUCUCCAUUGUGGAUGAGCCCUGUUCAUGUCGGGUACAGAAGCGAAAUAUUUCAUCCUUCCCAUUAAUGAUGAGUUGGAUAACUCCAGCUGCAACAUUAAUUGUGGCAUUAGAAGUACUUAAAAAUUGUCGUCCUAAAAUUAUCGGUGUCCUAAAGUCCGGAUUAAUAUCCAGGACAACAAAAUCUAUCCUGACGAAGAGAUCUCAAAUUUUCACUUGGAUGUCUUCGGCUAUCCUAGCCGGAUACCAGACUAAUUGGUCUGCCAACUGCAAAACCAUAGAGGUUGGAGAUAAUGAAUACUGACCAAGUUUGUCAUACACUACCUCUGGCAUGACACUGACGCUAGCUCCCAAAUCACAAAGCGCUUGAUCAAAUUGCUGGGUCCCAAUUGAGCAAUAAAUGGUUCGAUUUCGGUCCAUCUUCUUUUCUAGUAAUUGAUUGAGUAUGGCAACACUGCAUUGCUUAGUCAAUUUUACCAUUUCUGCACUCGGUAUAGGCUUCUUUUUAUUAAGCAUAUCCUUCAAAUAUUUGGUGUACGUCGGGACCUGCAUAGCAUCAACUAGCAGCACAUGGAUAUAUUAUUUUUGAAUUACCUCUAAAAAUUUCUUGAAUUGUUCAUCCUCUCUUGCCUUUAUACUUCGCUCUGGAAAUUGCAAAACAUGUGUAUCAUAUAAUUCAUGAGGGUUAGUUCUUACCUUUGCCCUGGGUGUAGCCGGAAUUUCUUCUUCUUCGACUUCCACCACUUCAAUUGAUUUUUUUUUUGAUACAGGCUCGGGAUAUGAUGGAUCACAAGUGGCUUUACCACCUCUCGUGGUCACAGCAUUAACUUUCUCAUGAUAGGCAACUUGGUAUUUAAAGUCAGGUACUUGAUUUUGUAGUCUAUUAUUAAAACUAAGUUGUUCUUUUAAAGACAUGGUAAAAUUAUCAAGUUUAACAUGAAUUUCUCCUAACAUUUUAUCAUAUUGUAGAAGCAUAGCAUGUAAUUUCUCAUUAAUUCUAGCUAGAUUAAAAACAAGAUAUUCAAGCGAAGAAUUAACAACUAAGUUGCUAGGAUAAUUACCUUUAUUGUCGUGCAGAUUCCAUUUUGGAUAUGUUGCUAAUGGUGAUGGGCCAAACCCACCAUCAUUAAGAAGAGAUUUAAUGUCCCUCCUUCGACAAUAUUCAGCAUCAUGGCAAUGUUCAUAUGGUGUUGCGGCUCGUAGCUUGGAAUGCUCAAUAGCAGCUUAGUCUCUUUUCCAGUUUGCUCUUUUGUCUAACCUAUUCAACAAAGAAUCUAGAGAUAUAGAGUUAACCAAUUGAAUAUUGUUCGUACCUUGUAGAUGAUUGUCGGUCCAUCCUUGAUUGUCGACCAUCUUUUCAGUCAGCUCCUUAGCUUGCUUCACAUUAAUAGCAAAGAAAGUUCCUCUGGUAGCAGCAUCAAGAUGAUAACGGGACUCAAUAAAGAGUCCAUGGUAGAAGCUCUAGAUUAGUACCCAAUCUUGCAUCCCAUGGUGUGGACAUGCUUAAAUAUAUUCUUGCAUGCGCUCCCACUUCAGGUACAGAUUCUUGGUUUUCCUGUUGAAAGUUAGAAAUUUUACUACGAAAAAGAUUAGUCUUACCAACCGGGAAGAAUUUGGUGAGGAAGUUGCUUGAACAUUUCUCCCACGUGUUGACUUUCACCAGGUUGUGGUAGAACUAAUGCUUAGCUUUUUCUCGUAAUGAGAAUGGAAAGAGACGGAGUUGAAUGAUGUCUUGUCGAAUUCCAUUGAUAGAAAUUGUGCCACAUAUUUCCAAAAAAAUCUGAAGAUCAGCAUUGGCAUCCUCAAAUGAAUUGCCAUUAAAAGCAAUAGCUCGCACCAUAUGGAUCAGUGAAGGCUUAAGCUCAAAGUCUACCUUGCCAUCACCAGCACAUGGUACUCACGAAGAAAUUUGUUUGAUGCAGUAGAAUAAUAACGAAGAAAUUUGUUUGAUGUCGGUGGAUUGGUUGAGCUACUUGGGUGAUUAGUUGGAUCUGACAGAUGUUCAUCAGGAGGUGGAUCCCUUGCAUAAGCUCCAGAAGUUCUUCUUGGAGGAGUAAGAUUAGGUCUUGCUCUUCUAAGAAUAGUCUCAGGAUCGUCUUGAUAAUCUUCUGGAAGAUUAAAUCUAGCCAUCCUAGCUUAAACAAUCACAACACGAACAAAACUGUAAUAUGCACCCGCUAAAGAUAGGGGUUAGUUCUAUAGCAAAUAUCAAAUAGACAAAUCUAUUUAGGCCAAUUGCUUCCCCAGCAACGGUGCCAAAAAUGCUUGUUGGUAAUUCUUAGCACAAUCACUAAAGGUAGCCACAAAGCCUAACCUUCGGCAAUGGCACUAGAAUUGUGUGUUGAUUAUUCUUAUGUCCAUUGAAAAUUCCACAAGCGCACAGAAUAAAUCACUUGUAGCACUUCACUUGGGAGUACCAAGUAUCGUAUUUAUUUCCAUAGGGAAGCUAUAUAUGGCUUAAGAGAUGACUCUAAUGAACUUACUAAGAAUAACCUAAUCUAGCAGGGGUGAUCUAAGUAACUGAUAAUUUUGGAUAUGGGAUAUAGACUAAGUAAUAACCUACCUACUACCAC
rnacentral:lncRNA from 1 species